AUGGCCAUAGUAGCUCAUGUUGUUCGGAUGGCUUGGUGAUGGGGGCUAGUUUUAUGGCUUCCCCAUUGGAGGGUGUCCUGGAUAGUGACCAUAAGGUGGCUCAUACACCGGUGGUUUCUUAGGAGGUUCAUAUACUGGUGGCUUCUUCGGAGGUUCGUAAACCGGUGGUUUGGGCUCUGGCUUCUCUUUCUUCGGAGGUUCAUAAACUGGUGGUUUUGGUGGCUUAGGUUCAUAUACUGGUGGUUUUGGUGGCUUAGGUUCAUACACUGGAGGCUUCUUUGGAGGCUCAUAUACUGGUGGUUUGGGUUCUGGCUUCUCUUUCUUUGGAGGUUCAUAAACUGGUGGCUUUGGUGGCUUAGGCUCAUAAACUGGUGGCUUUGGUGGCUUAGGUUCAUAUACUGGUGGUUUCUUUGGAGGCUCAUACACCGGAGGCUUCUUUGGAGGCUCAUAAACUGGUGGCUUUGGUGGCUUAGGUUCAUAAACUGGUGGCUUAGGUUCAUAUACUGGUGGCUUUGGUGGCUUAGGCUCAUAAACUGGUGGCUUUGGUGGCUUAGGUUCAUAAACUGGCGGUUUCUUUGGAGGCUCAUACACCGGAGGCUUCUUUGGAGGCUCAUAUACUGGUGGUUUGGGUUCUGGCUUUGGAGGCUUAGGUUCAUAUACUGGUGGUUUCUUUGGAGGCUCAUAAACUGGUGGCUUUGGUGGCUUAGGCUCAUAAACUGGUGGCUUUGGAGGCUUAGGUUCAUAAACUGGCGGUUUCUUUGGAGGCUCAUACACCGGUGGUUUCUUGGGAGGUUCAUAAACUGGUGGUUUGGGUUCUGGCUUUUCCUUCUUUGGAGGUUCGUAAACCGGUGGCUUGGGCUCCGGCUUCUCCUUCUUUGGGGGUUCAUAGACAGGGGGUUGGGGUUCUGGCUUCUUUGGAGGUUCGUAAACUGGUGGUGGUUUGUAAAUUGGGGGUGGCUUCACCUCGGGAGGUUUGUAAACAGGAGUAGGUGGUUUCCCAUAGCCGGGUAACUCGUAGGUACCAAGGGAGGGAGUGGCGAGAACCACCACUCCCAGGAGCAGUACUAGUAAGUGUGUAAGAGACAUCUUGGAGCUCUGGCUUUCGAUAGGGCAACUCGAAGCCCUCCUUUUAUAGUGGUAAAGGAGCCUUUUGGUUAGUCCAGGUGUCAAAAUUUCUCUCGUUUCAUACCUUACGAAAUAGUGAGCUAGCUAGAUUUGUAAAUAUUUGAGUAAUUCAUAAAUGUGAUAGGGUCCAUUUGGGUCCCACUUAGUCGAAAUUUUGGACUAUGAAUUACAAGGCCUUAUUCAUGAUUGAAGAAGAUUGGCAGUGUGGCUAUUAAAGAAGAUUGGCAGUGUGGUUCUUUUGGCGGUGACUAUUCCUUCUCUUUCCAUAAAGUAAUAGUUAGCGUCACUCUUUUCAUCUUUUUCAUUUAUGAAACAUGCUUUUUCUUUUCCUGCUAAAAGAAGCAAUAGAAUGGCACGAAAUUCUCCUUUAUAUCUGCUCAGCAACUCUUUCCUAACAAAUAUAAGAAGCUCAAGGCGUGAAAAUAUCUCAAGAGACUGAAAGUGAAGAGCGUUUCUAUAAACAAUGCCUCAGGAUAAAGUUGCAAAAAAAUUGCAGGACUGCACAUCUUCUAGUAUCACAAUAGGUGUUCAUCAAGGAAAACUUUUUACUCCAAUUGGUAUGAUAUUUACUGUUUUCAUGUCCUGUAAAGUCUUGGUUGCUACAAUAAAUAUAGUAGAAGUGUUUGAUGACAGCAAAUUUCCUUCUGGACUGCAAACAUUGUUACUAAUUUCAAAUGUAAUGCCACAGCUAUAAAAAAUAAAAAUAAAAUAAAAAAAGCGAAGCCCAGAUGAGAAGGUUGGUACCUUCCGCUUGCAUGUUCUAAGUUUUGCUUGAGGGAGAUUAUUUUGGCUAAAAUCUAACAACAUUGUUGCCAAAAGGCAACUUCAUUAUUGGUGGAAGCCUUUGCAGUCCUGUUGGGAAAUUUACACGAAUGCAGCACUCACCUCUUUGCUUGUUUCCAUAGUUAACAACAAGUGAGCUUAUUUGUCGGUAUUGACUUUUAUGAUGCAUACCCUUUUUCUCUUUCUAUAUUUUGUUUUCAGUUACCUAAUUCCUUAUAGUUGGCACUAGGUUUUUUUUAAAUUCAACGAGUUUUUGCAUCUAAUGGUCUUUUAUUGACUUUUAGAAGCAAUAUUUUAACCUUCCUGUUGAUUGUACCUUAGUUGAACUAAGUUCCAGAAAGACAGCUUUCUUUCACUAUCAGUGUAUGGAUAGCUUAGCAAUUUAGUCUUAUGGAUUCAUUAUUACCCUUGCACUAAAGCCGCAGGCAAAUUACUGAAAGACUAAUCAUAGAUCUUUUUCUGCUAAUUAAGGUAUUUGAGUGGUUCUAUUAUGGAGAGAAAUUAAUUUACUCUGUAAGUGAGGCUAUAUUGAAGAGAAUCUGAACUGUUUACAACUACUUUGUUCUCCAUAAGAAUUUUGGCUGCAACGUUUGACAAUUAUUGUUGUUAUUGCCUUUAUUCUCAUGACAGAGCGCUUUAGGCAGGACAAUCUGGUUCAUGAACACUGCUCAUAAUUAGAUUUUAAUUCCCAAUCCUAAAUUGCAUGUUAAUAGCAUUAUGAAGUAUGUCAUAAAUUUUGCACAAUACUUUAAACUCGGAAAGAGAGUAUUUGGACUUGGGAUCUCUUCCUGGAAGUACGGCCUGGUCACCAUGAAGCUUCCAGAAAUUUGUUUUCUACACGCAACACUGGAUUUGGUAUAACUAAUUGUGAGGAAAUAUGAGCUCUUAAAGCAGAUGAACAGUUCUGUGAAUCGGCUUAAUUAAUUUUCAUGAAUUCGGGCAGCCUAAGGCUUAUUCCAAACAAUUUAGAUGAAGAGUUCGACCAGAGUAAAGAAAUAUUUCAUUAUGUACCAUCUUGUCCUGUAAUUAGGUGAUUAUCAUAUGAAUUAUAAAUUUAUAAUCACUUUCCUGAGUCGAAAUUCAGCAGAUUUCUUUUGUAGUUUCCCCCCACUCAUCUACAGGUUAUUUUAUCAAAAAACCUGCUGGUUUUUUUUUAAAUUAAAAAAACCUGCAGGUUCUGUGCUGCUAUGUGCUGGCAGAAGAAAAAGCUUAAUGGCGAUAGAACAACAGUCAGUGAGAAAGACUGGCAUUUUGCAAAACCGACAUGCUGCAUAAUAGGCCUAGCUUACCUACCGUCCUUUUGAUAAAAUUGUACUCGUUAUAAAAUUAGAUGAACUUUCAAUUCGUAGCUUAUCCAAUUAGUACGUAACACAAUGUUUGAAAUACAUGAUUGAUCAUGAAUGCCAAUAUUAUUGCUUUUUGAUUUUUGCAACUCUGGCAAUGGAUCUUUCCACCAACCAAUCUCCAUGCACGAAAACGCAACAAAAAUCUUGAACUUAGUGGUUCAGUUGAAGUCAAAAAGCCAAAAGAAAGGGAUGAGAGGGGGGAUUGAAACAAAGAAAGCGAAAAGAGAAACAGACCAUGACUGGAGAGGAAAUAUGAAUAUAGGUGGGAAUAAAUAAGUAUUCAUGGAAAUCAACUGCAUGCAGUAACAAAGUGGCUUGUGAGGCUCUUCAGCUUUCUCCAUUAUUGGAGGGUGUCCAGGGUAGUUUCCAUAGGGUGGAGAUGGUUUGGGCGAGGGUAGAGUUCUUGGCUUAUGCUCAGGAGCCGGGGUAUGAGGUUUGGGCAUUGUGGCUGGCUUUUCAACGGCUUGUCCACCUGUGGUGCUGGUCCUUUUUUUGGAGGUAGAGUUGGUGCAAUGGGUGGUUUUGGUCCUAACUCUAGGAGGUAGAUCGAGUUAGUGGAUUGUGCUCAGGAUUUAGCUUUUCUGCUUUAGGAGGCUUUCGAACUCGGGUUCCUGCCUCGUGCUUGGCACUGGCUUCUUAGUUGGGGGAUCCAGGUGGCCUGGAAUGGGUGGUUUGCGCUCAUAUUGAGGUGGCUUUGCGUAAUCAGCUAAACAGGGUGCGCUAAGACUAAAAACCACUGAACCGAUAAACAACAUAAACAAGUAUACAUAGGAGACAUCUUUGUGCUUUGAUGGUAUAAAGAUAAUGGUUCAGAACUUGAAGGAACAUACCAUUUUGUAAUGCUUACCAGCCCUGGAAAGUUGUAUACAUGUUCAAAUUUCGUUCAGUUCGUGUCAUGCACAGAUUACAAAAUAAGUUAAACUAUAUAAUUUGCAGAGCUUAAUUAAGGCGAUAAAAUGGUUCAUUUGUUUCCCAUAGAGAUGAACAUUUAGACAGUUGGGAAAAUCCUGUUCCUAAGAAGGAUGAGGGAGGAAAAGUUCCAACCUCCAGGUUAAAAUCCAUUUUAGUUUCUCUCUCACGAUCUACCGACUUUUGCCCUUUCUUCAUCUGUUUCAACGUUGAUCCAGAUCUCUAGGUGAGCAUUUUGUCAAAGCAGCCAUCAUGGAAAAUGUCAACAGCGCUUGGACAGUAGCAAGGCAUUAUUUUGGCCAAUAAGAACAAAAAAGGUUGGUGCUACAAUUAAGGUAAUUACCGAAGAACUUUUGCUCCUAUUAUUUUUCUUCCGUUUUGUUCGAAUUUCUGUAUGAUUCACUCACUUCAGUCGUUUUCAAGACUGUGAUUUCUUGUAAUUCUAGAUUUUCUUCCAUGGCGUAAUAUUUGACAGUCCGCAUCCGCGUUUCUUGAUUUCCCAUAUAGAUUGCGACAUUGAUGGCCACUUGUCAGUCAUAGGUCGUUGGUACAGUUUCAUCGUGUCAGUCCGUGCCUAUCAUUUCAAUCUAAACAUGCAAAUAAACCCAAAAAAUGAAGAAUAAAAAAAAUAUAACAUAGUUUAUCAGAUAACUUUGGACUUUUAGUAUUGUCAAAGACUUUCGUUACUUGUUGGGAUGAAUUCUGGGUACAAAGUUGUCAAUAUUGGAGGUGUAAACAAGAACUCUCAUUUCCAGACUCAAGGGCUACCUGGAGUAUGUUUCCAGUAACAAACGUGUAGGAGCUUUAAUUUGACAUUGUAGAUGGUGCAAAAUGUGCAGAGAGAACAGAAUCCCAUAGUCUGUAGGUGGAGAUUGAUUGAGAGAGAUACAAAAAUUCUGUAUUUACAAGUCAUAUUUGCUCAUUGACAAAAGAAAAUAAAAUAUUGAACGUGGACUAUUCCCAUAGAAAAGAACCCAUAACUACUCAUCUCUCUUGCCAUAGUCUCUCUCUGUGGUAUGACUCCAUCAAGAUCCAUGAAUUAGUGAUAUCCUUACUUCAUCCUUUAAUUGUGAGGCCAAAAAUAAGACACAUACAACAGGAACCAACACACUGGAGGUGCAGCUGUGUAGUCUACAUGUUCCAGAACCCAGAAGUUUCCUGUCCUGAAAAAUAAGCCAUUUUUUUUUUGUAUCCUUUGACUAAUGUAUGUAAAUAAAAGAAAAUAUAGAUUUGAUAUGUCAGUGCUCUGCAUAUGUAGUUAUCUUCUCGAUCGGAUUUGCUCCUUAUUUUCAAUGGACAAAUGCUGGUAGGUUUUCUGGGUCUAAACUGAAGACUUUAUUCUCCAGACAGGGCAGGUGAAAUUGAAGAAUUAUGUGAGGAAUAUUCUUACUACGAACCGUGGUUUUUCUCCAGGAUUCUACGACCAAGGAAAACAAAUCGUGGUGCCAUAUGUCUCCAUGCAUGUUAUUAUGGGCACAUCAUCUUUCUUAAUUUCUGAUACGACUUACUCACACAUCCAAUGGAGAUGGUUGCCAAAAAUUUGUUUACUCCUAACUGGCUUAUCCUUUUUUACUUUCUUUAUAUUUUUCCCCUAAUAAGUGGUCCAACAACUCCUUAAAUUAUUAUAUCUUCACUUUUUCAUCCAUUCCACCAACUACAUAUAUUUUAAUGUUUUUGUUAUUUAAUUUCUGAUCUUGAAAAAUGACAAAAUUGUUUAAGUUAUUGAUUUAGCCAGCCAUUUAUUGUUUUCUUUAUUGGUGGCCGCAGCCUAUUGGUGUCCACCGACUGCCCCUGGCCAUGCUAGGCCAGGCUCUGGGCCCUUAAGCCCUGCUGGUUAUAAAUAAUUCUAACUUGAACAAACAAUAUUAAGCCUAGGCCCAACUUGAUGAUUAUUUUAUUACGAAAAUAGAUUUUUUUUUUUAUAAUUAAGAGACGAGUAUUUGAAUCUUAUUUUUUAGAGACAGAGAAUAUAUAUUAAUUAAUAAAUUAUAUAUUCUAGUAUUUAUUAUGAAGAUAAUUUUUUUUUUAGUUAGUGGGGUGCGCCAGCCCUGAGCUAUAGUGCAACGCUAGGGCAAUGCGCGAGAGAACCAAUAGCAAGCUACUAUGGUGGACUCUCUCCCUAAAAAAAUUAAUUUAACAUCAUGUGGACUAAUGGCCCAUGAAGAUAGUUAUUUUUGAAAAACAUAAAAAUUUGAUAUGUGAAAUUGAAUUUGUUGGAUCAGAAUUGAAAACCCGAAUAAUUCCGAGUACAAGUUAUUUCGGAUUCAGAUGAUUCGAGUAUGAUAUUCAGAUAUUUUUAUUUAAAUUAUUAACUUUUAAAAUUAUGUUAUAUUUUAUUAAUAGUAAUUAAAUUGUUUAUUAUCACAUUUUUGUUAACUUGUAUCAUACCUUCAACUUUGAUUUUUGAUAUCAUAAAAAAAUUCAAAAUUUUUUUGACUCAUAUAAAAAGGAAAGAAACAAGUGAAAUGAAAGUUAUUAAUUAAUAUAAAAAACAAUAGUUAACUUCUAAAAAAAUUAUAAAUUGUUUUUUAUUGAAUGAUGUUAAUUUUCACUUUCAUUACACAGAUUAUUAUUAGUAAUUCACCGUAAUUAUGGUUCGACUUACAAUUUAAAAUGUCAGUCAUAACUUAUAAAAUAAGGUAUAAUUCUCUCUUUAGUUCCUUUAAAGUUAACGUUUAUUACCUCAAAAUUUAAAAAAUGAAAAAAUAUUUUACGUAAUAAUUAAUGAACGUCAACAACACAAAUUGGUUCAAUUCAAAAUUCAAAACCAGAAAUAGCUUAAACCUAAAAUAACUCGACUCAAAAUUAAUUAAUGAAUAGUUAAAAUACAAUUUCUUUUUAUUUACAGUAUUUAACAUGCAUGCGGAGUUUAGCAUUUUGUGCGGGCCUAAUCCAACUCUUGGAAUUUAAGUGCGUGCAGCCCAUUGUCACAAAAGCACAAAGAACAAACAAGGCAGAGAGUACUUCAUAAAAUAAAAAAGAACAAAAAAAAAAAAAAAAACAAAGAAUUGAAGAUGGGUUAUCAGGAUCAAACUUAUAUGCACAACAAUUCCUUCUCAGCAUCAGGCUUUUCUGUCAGCUUUGGAUCUUAUUUCAUUAUAUGUUGUGAAUUUUGUCUUUACCUUCCCAAAAACUAUUGAUGCUCUGUAGUGAUUCUGGUUCCUUGUAGUAGGGUCUCCCCUGCUUUUUUUUUACAUGAAUAAAUUGUAUUUAUCUGAAAAAACAAAAGAGGGGUUACAGUUUCAGCCAUUGAGGCUUGCUGGGCUGCAAAGAAGCUAUAGAGAGAGAGAGAGUCGAUCAUCAUAUCAAAAAUGUUUAAUACUACAACUAUAGAAGAAAUUAAGACUGUAUAUUACACUAAGUGAAAGCAUAUAUAUAUAUAUAUAGUGACAGUCGUAAAGUACAAAGUUUUCAAACUGCAUGUCCAUGCUCAUUUCCUACGUAGGAAGCUAGUACAUGCACUACAAGCUAAAGGAGUGAACUACGUAAACAUUAAAAACCAACUAUAGCGGGAGUUAUGGACUCAAACCAUUGAACAUAGCUGCUCUUAUUUCUAUGACACUCUCCCAUUCCAUAUAUACUAAACACAACUAGCUACUAGCUGGUAACGCCUAGUUAGCUUGUCGUGGCGGCUUGUGGGGUGGUUCAUCAUGUGGAGGCUCAACGGGCGGUUGGUCAGGAGGCUGGUGGGGUGGUUCAUCAUGUGGAGGCUCAACGGGCGGUUGGUCAGGAGGCUGGUGGGGUGGUUCAUCAUGUGGAGGCCCAACGGGCGGUUGGUCAGGCGGCUGGUGGGGUGGUUCAUCAUGUGGAGGCCCAACGGGCGGUUGGUCAGGCGGCUGGUGGGGUGGUUCAUCAUGUGGAGGCUCAACGGGCGGUUGGUCAGGAGGCUGGUGGGGUGGUUCAUCAUGUGGAGGCCCAACGGGCGGUUGGUCAGGCGGCUGGUGGGGUGGUUCAUCAUGUGGAGGCCCAACGGGCGGUUGGUCAGGCGGCUGGUGGGGUGGUUCAUCAUGUGGAGGCCCAACGGGCGGUUGGUCAGGCGGCCCAAGUGGAGGCUCAUGAGGUGGCUCGUGUGGAGGCACUGGUGGACGCAACUUGCGUGGUGGCUGGAGCACUUCUUUGUUCUCAAGUACUUGCUCUGCCAGAAGGUGUCCCGCGGGGUGAUGACCAUCAUGUGGUGGCUUCUUUCCCUUGCCCUUUGGUGGUUUGUCAAAUGGUUUGCAGGGUGAGCUGUGUAAUUCCUCAACGCAGCCGUCUUCCGAGAGGUGUCGUUGGGGUACUGGCUUAUUAUCACCUGGGCGUAUCGGUGGCUCCUCUUUCUUAGGUGGCAGUGGUUUAUCACCAGGGAUAAACUUUGGUGGUACAUAACCAGGGAGAAUUGGUGGUUUGCGCUCUGGAAAGCGCUCGUCUUCCUCGGGAGGCCCAUUAUAAGCUAGAGAUGGGGAUGGAGUGGUGAGAAGAGCCAUCACUCCAAGUAAAAACAGAAGCAAGUAAGCUUUAGACAUUGUGAUUGGAAAAUCUGUAGCUUGUUUUUGUGGUGAAGAACAUGAACAACUAGCGGCCAUUUAUACUGGAUGGAAUCAUAGCUUUAUCGUCACCACUCAUGUCAUUGAGCAUUUGGCAAGCUAGCUUAGUUUGUAGCUUUAGAUAACUGUUUAAUUAAUUAAAUUACAGAUUUUCAGUUCACAGUUCACAUAGUGCUCAAAAGAAGAGAAGCUCACAAAUUUUAGGUGGUCCAUUUUGGGGUCCCAUCAAAGCUAUUUUCUUGUUUUUCAUUGAGAGAAAACUGAAAACCAAAUUCCUGUCACAUUUAGUCCAUUAAAAUUUAAUUUAUUUUCCUUACUAUAAGCCUGCACCCAAGUGACUCGAUUGACUUCCGUCUAUUUUUAUAAGUUCUGCCUAGGGCUUCUGUUUCUGUGUGUUGGCACGUUGAUUCUGUUCAUAUUUAGCCUUUAAUUUCACUGGAGUGCAAUUCUACUCGAAAUGGUGAAUUAACUUAUCAAACCCCUUUAAAUCACAAUAAAGAGGUGUAGAAUAGGAUAUUGCACCACAGAUUCCAACGUAUAUUCGAUUUUGAUUUUCCUUUUUUUUUAUUUUUGCAUGAAGUAGUCAAAAUUAAAUAGUACUUCAAAAUCAAGUUGAAGAGUUAUUUAAUAAUGUUGCAUAAAUUGUCUAAUGGCAUAUGUUAAAAUUUAGAGUGUUUUUUAUGAUAUCAUUAUAGUGCAAAAUCGAGUCAUAGCUAUGUUUACCUCGACAAUUUGCACAUUAUCACUUAAGAUCACCCACUAACUGAGAUAUUUUCUUAUCUCUUACUUCAAUUCGUUGGAUUCAAUUUCAUGAGAAAAUCACAUUUUUUUAAACGAAAUAAUUAUUGUAUUUUAUUAGAAUCGCUCUAGCAAUGAACACAAAAAUUCAUACACUAUUUUUCAAUUUUUUUUCUAGCCAUACUAUAGCAUUAAAGCUUUAAUUAGAAUAUAUAAUCACUUGGGUCAUUAUAGAUUUUUGUCUUUGGAAUUUUAGCAUCUUUAGGAACAAUUCAACAAGUAAAAAGAAAUUACCUUUUUUUUUGCUGUUUUUUUCAACUAGUUCAGACUUACAACAUGCAUAAUGUUGCUGGGUUUUUUUUUUUUUUUGGUCUUUUUCAUUUCAAUUUACAGCUACUUGACUUUCUCUCUGUUGGAAAGAAACAAAGACAAAACGCCAAAAAAGAAAAAAAAAAAAAAACAGAAGAAAGGAAGGUGGGAAAGUUCUCCUGAGAAUCUGAGGUACUCAAGUCAACUUCAAGGCGUUUGGGGCCAACCAAUGACUCAGAGUCACCGGCCCAGACGUUCGCUAGCGAUCGCUUUUGUCUUGACUCAGAGUCACCGUCCACGUCUCUUAGAACUAUAGUUGAGUUUUUCUUCUAUUUCUACGUACUUCCUCAAAAUUCAACAGGGAAUCGAGGAACGAGCUAGCCAAUGAAUCACUUAUUUUUCUUUGAUUUCAUACUUUAUAUAUAAAAAUGAAACAGUGUAAAUUUGGAAAUGGGUAAGAAAGCAAUAAAUUGAUUAAUUUGAUUAUAUAUGAAACAACAUCAGUUUAAUUUUGGAUUAUUAUAUUUCUAAUUCCCAUCAUUCCCUGGCAGUCAAAGUUGAGAAAAUUUCAUCAGUUCGAUAGGAGCAUUCAGAAGGCAACGAGUGAAAGCUUUGUUUUUUGUCAACCAAAAAUCCAAAAUCUGAAAGCGGCGAAAGCACAGUGGGUGAAACACUGAAAAUUAAAUCAGAAUAUCCCAAAAUAGUGAAUAAAGUAGAAAAUCCAUAUCAUACAAACAACAGAUAAACCAUAGAUGACGCAGGAGUUUCUGUAACAACAAAGUACAAUCUGCAUAACUCCAUAGAUAUGGCCUCCCAAGUCAUGAAUAAAUAAAGCAUAGGACUUGGCCAACGUGGAUGUACAUGUAACUAGCUAGAGACUACUAAUGAAAGACAACUCAGCAUCAGCUCUUAUUUGUGCGAUAAACUAGCGGUAUCAGGCUGAUGAUCUUCUAAUUUUAGGUACUAAUUAAUUUAGUUGCCGUGUGGAGGCUUGUGGGGUGGUUUAUAGGGUGGCACUUUUGGCUUCAACUUAUUGAUCGGUGUCUUGCGCGAGGCCUCAGUUCCCUGUCCUGGGUGACGUUUGUGGGGUGGUUUGUGCUCAAGUGGAGGCGUCUCCCCCUUACCCUUGGGUGGUUUUCCACCGGAAAAUAUUGGUGGCUUGUGCGAGUCCUCAACAUCCUCACCUAGGAGGCGUCUGUGAGGAGGUUUGUGGUCAUGGGGUGGCUCCUUUCCCUCACCCUUAGGCGGUUUGUCACCUGGGAAUGGCUUCUUGGGUUCUUUACCAUUUGGCAAUUCAUGUCCAUGUGGAGGCUUCUCUCCCGUGCCCUUGGGUGGUUUACCACCGGAAAAUCUUGGUGGCUCGCGGGAGUCCUCAACAUCCUCACCUAGGAGGCGUCUGUGGGGAGGUUUGUGGUCAUGGGGUGGCUCCUUUCCCUCACCCUUAGGCGGUUUGUCACCUGGGAAUGGCUUCUUGGGUUCUUUACCAUUUGGCAAUUCAUGUCCUUGUGGAGGCUUCUCUCCCUUACCCUUGGGUGGUUUACCGCCUGUGGUUUUUGGAGGUUUGUGUGUGUCCUCAACAUCCUCACUCAGGAGGUGUCUGUGAGGAGGUUUUUCCCCAUGUACUGGUGGCUCCUUUCCCUUACCUUUCUCACCAGGAUGUGUUGGUGGCUUUUGACCAGGGAAAGGCUUGCCUCCCUUACCCUUGUAAGGCUCAUUAUCAUGGUGUUGAUUAGCUAGAGAAGGAGUGGUGAUCAUAAGAACCACCACUCCAAGGAGAAACACAAGCAAGAAAGCUUUAGACAUCUUAAUUUGGGAUCUUUGGGUUAUGCUGUGGUUCAAAACUGGAUCACUUGGUGCCCUUUUAUAAUGGAUGGAAGGGCUGGAGCUAUGUUGUCAACACAUACACACGCAAUUCUGCAUUUGUCCUCUACUUCUGUACUAGAUUCUUGAUUUCAUAGUGCACUAGAUACACCUCAAAGCAAGUGAUGCUUUUCCAAGGAUAGUAUGCAAAUGCAAAUGGGUCCGAUUUCGGGUCCCAUGUCCGGUUGAAAUGUUUGACAAUUUUACUAGUGCGCCCCAUUCACAUUUACUUUUGGUAGGAAAGUUAACAACCAGCCUAGUUUAGAAAGAGAUUCGGUAACAGGAGGUUGAUCUUCACAUUGAUGCAUCAAGGUCCUUGGCAAGAAUUGAGACAAACAUAGAUUUAAGAUUCAAUGUGCAAUAUUGAGUAAGGGCAUGCCCCAGUCAUCAAUUCUGAUGGAAUCAAUACAAUAUCGAGUUGUGAGACGACUAAAAACGCCACAGUUUUUAGUUAACUAAGUUCAAAAUCAACUAGCUAUGGUUGCUUGAAAAAAGAAGAAAGCGAGAAAGGUAAAAAUAUUCUUCACAUUUUUCAAUUGCAACCAUUAAAAGCUUUUAGACAGGAGUGUGGGCUUUUUCUGGAGAUAUUGUUGACAAAACGGUGUGAACUCUGGAAACUUUGGAAAAGUUACAAACUUUUGUCAUAAAAUAAUAUUAUAGAGAUUUAAGUCAAGUAACUUUAUCAAGUCAUCUAGUACAAAUUAGUUAAUAGUAGUGUCCACUAAGUCUCGGCUCGACGGAAAGAAAGACUACAAGAAAGAGAAAAGAAAAGAACAUAAUCUCGAUUUGGGGUAGUUCUUUUGAGAGCGUUUCCACAAGCUUAAUUUGUCGUUUUGCCAUAUGAUCAGUAUUAUCAUAUAAAAAUUGCAUAUUUCUUUUGGUGCAGAAGUUGGGUACUCGAGAUUCAUGUUUUUACACGUUCCUUUCUACCGACAUGUAUGCCGAUCAUUAGUAUUGGCUCUCCUCUCCCAUAGUAACAAUUGCAUCAAUAUUAAAAAAUAAAUACUAAGAGAAAUUUUUUAAUAUAUAUAUGGAUGGGCAUAGCCCUGUUGGAUGAGAUGACACUAACAGGUAAUUAAAAGUAGAUUACGCACCCACAGGGCCACAACAUGCAGAAAGUAACCUACUAAGCAUAACUUUUCUUUAUAUGAUCAUAUUCAACCGUUCAUAUAACUUUUCCACGACAUACCAUUUUUGGUCAAAAUAUUUAGUAUUUACUCUUUAACCUCACAUUUUUAAUGGCACGAUUCGUUGGAUGCAUGAUUUGAGAAAAAUGGGCAGAAAAAGACAGUUCGAAAUAAAGGAAUUUCGUUAACCAUUGGCUUUGGCUACAAGCCAAGAAAGGUUGCCAACUUUUGUAAUACUAGUAGCACUAGAAAGGCUGCGAGCCAAGCAUGGGAUUGCAUACUGAUUACUGAGACAGAAAUCAAAGAGAAGAUAGCGCAUGCUCUUGUCUUAUUUUGUUAUUUCUACUCUCUCUCUAUAUAACAUAAAUAAAUAGAAGGAAGCCCCAAAGGGGCUUCCAAGUUUAGCCAUGUCGUGGCUCUUUUUGGAUGACAUCUGUUCAGAAUAUAUUUAAUAUUAUUUGAUUUAUUUAUUUUUUUUAAGUUAAUGAAUUCCAUUCAUAGUAAAACAGGGAUAAGUUCCCUGGAUACAAAAACAAAGCACAUGAUUUUAAGAUGCUACGCCUUGAUCGUCAUCUCGUUUCAAAAUUAUCUUGACAACCUGCCCAGGAGAAGCCAUCAAAAAAUAAAUCACAAAAAACAAACAUCCCUAUCAUCAAUUUACAAACAAAUGAAUAUUCAAAACCAGCAUAAAGCCACAAAGUCAUACCAAAAUCCCCCUGCUCAGUAAUUCAUUCCAGAUCAAUAAAAAACAUGUUGCAAUCUAAUCCAAAAUUCUAAACUCCAGAGCACAUGUCUUUACAAGUAACCACAACAUCUCAUUCAAAAGACUCCAUAUCAUCUCCGUAUUAUUUGAUUUGUUGAGGAUGCAUGUAUGGUAUUUUCUUUUUAUGCUCACUAAAACCAACUAAUGUUCUGGCUUUGGUCCAAUUGAGUCUUACUCCAGAAAACAUUAAUAGGCAAAGAAGCAAAGUAAAAACCACUUCAAAAAAAAAAAAAACAGAGUGACAUAGAGUGAAGGAAACUUGCACUUCGAAUGGAAAGUUGGCUAGGUUCUUUAGAAAGAGAGGAAAUUGGCGGUAAAAGGAAGGGAAAGAGAAGAAAUGAAGAAAAGAGGAAAGGGAAAGAAAGAGGGAGUUGUUGCCAGAAAUGUCCAGUCCGGCGAAGGCGACGAAGUCAGUGGUCGAGUCAGAGAGAAAGGGUUUAAAGAAACGGAUUAGUUGCUAGGGUCAGAAGAGAGUAAAAAUGAAGAAAAAAGAAAGGGGUUGCCAGCUAGGUUUAGGGAAAAUCAAAACCAUGUCGUUUUAUGGACACAAAAAGAAGAAAAAGAAGAAAUGGGUUGGAUUCAAUCAAGCCCUAACUGAUUCAACUUUAGAUUUAGUCAAUUUAUUUUAUUUAUGUAAUUCUUUUUUAUCUAUAAAUUAAAUUUAUAAAAUUACUUCAAAAAGGAUAAAAAUAAAAAAUUUAAACAAUUAUUUUGAUAAGUAAUAGAAAAAACAAUUUAUUGAAUAAAGUUAAUAAUGACUUAUCAAAAUUAUUGGAGGAUCUCAAAAUUAUUUUCACAAGGUAGAUUAAUUCUAAAUAAUUAUAAAAAUAUAAGAUAAAAAAUAAUAAUUAAAAUUGAAGAUAAUUCAUAAAAUUUCAUCAUUAAAAUUAAAAAAAAUUUAAUAUGCUUUAUUAAUAUUCAUUUUAUUUUCACUUUCAGAAGAAAUAUUCAUUUUAUUUUAAUAAUUUUANCGCUACACAUAUAAUUUAUGUAGCUUAUGGAUAAUAACUUUUAAUAUAUUAAAUUUUCUUAAUUUUAAUUUUAUUUUAUUAUUGGAAUCAUCAUAAUUAACAAAAUAUGAUUAUAUGAAUAUUAACAUAUAUUAAGAUAUAAAAAAUCGAAUAAUUUUAAAAAUAAUUUAAAUAAAAUAUUUUACUUGGUAAAACAUAGUAAAAUCUUUUUAAAAUAUAGUUUUUUAAAAUAAUACGCUUUAAUUUAUUAUGAUUAUUAUUAUUUAUAAUUUUUACCAAUUUAAAAUUACUUUUUAAUUAUUAUUAUUUUAUUUAUAAUAUUAUGUAAUUUAAAAUUAAUCUUUAUUAAAAAAUUAACCCCAUGCAAAGCGGGGCACCAUUCUAGUAUAUAUAUAUUAUCAGUUUGAUAUAUAGUGGAGUGCGAGGUGGCUUCCGUGGAGCUUCCCCUACGGUCCAAGUUUGGUGGAGGUUCCACAGAAGUCGUCUCCUCCACUGAAGGCCCGCCGGGUGUCCGCCGACCCAAGUUUAUCUCACUAUUGUUCCAAUCAUAAGAGUGAUGCCUGGAAUCCACCGAGUUGAAAUGUUGGGCUUUUAGUAGGCGUCAGUGUCAGCUGAGGCAGGCAACUGGGUGAAUGGUAAGGGAAUAUAAUCUUAUCAAAUCUCUCAAGGCCUCUCGCUUUCUCGGCAGCUAAAGGAAAGAAUUUGUAAAUAUAAAAUCUAAAAAUAAAUAUUUAUGUUGGCCUAGGCUUUGAUGGACUUUGUCCAAGCCCAGAUGGAUACUUUUCGAGCUUAAAUUUCACACUGCAGCCCAUCUAAUUAGCCCAAACAGCAAGUCCACUUACCCAGUUGUAGGCCAGACUUGCAAUAAAACACCCCUAUACACAACCACCUGUAUCAAUUACUUUAUAUAAAUUACUUUUUGAUAUUAUUCUGUGUUGAAGUCUUUGGCACUAUUCUCUACAAAAUAGUAAAAAAAUUAAUGAAUUCAUUAGCAUGAUUAAUUACAUAAAACUCUAAUAUAAAUAAUAUAACAAAUUAAAAUUUUUAACAUUUCAAUAAAUAAGUGACGUCCGCUCCUACAGCCUAAGUAGCCAUUUGUAAUUAGUCACAACAACAAAAACAAGCCUAAUGAUCUCAAGCACAAUCACUUCCUUCAACCAUUUCAUUCAAGGUCAUCCAUAGCGUUUGAUUCCUUUUAAAGCCAUUUUUUCCAAUUGAUUUGCAAGCUUAUUUGCUUCCCUUGGCACAUGAUGGAUCUCCCAACUUCACCAUCCUUCUACACGCCUCAACAUGCAGCAUAUUAAUUUCUCCUUAUUUUUCAUGGCAUAUUUUGGACUCGAGUCGCUCUCGAUCAUUAGGUGAUGUGAUCCAUUCCACAUUGAAUCUUCAAACACAGAAAUAACUUGUUGCCAUAAACAUUAAUUUGACAUCUUUUCUGUUAAUGAGAUAAUGUUUUAACAAAUACAUAAAAGCAAGAGUGAAACUAGUUAACUUUUAUUGGGGUAAAAGACAAAGAAAAAUAAAGGUUAAAAAUUUUUAAAAAAUCAUCUAAACAAAAAAAAUAUACUUAAAAAAAAAAAAGACAAAAACAUAUAUGAUACAUACAAGAUUUUAAAAAUUUUGAGGGCUGCGUAAAGCUCCACUAUUGCAUAAAAGGGUUACAACCAAAGAUAUUACGAGACACAAUUAUUAAGAUUGUUUUUACUAAUUAAAUAAGUCAUAAUAACUAUUUUUAUUCUAUUCAAUUCAUUAUAUCAAAUUACGUAAUAAUUAUUUUAUUAUAUAUUUAUUUUAUUUUAUUCUUACAGAAUAAUUAUUUUAUUUUAUUCUUAUCUAUUCUGCAAACUAAACAUAUUUAUGAUGCUACGUCCAUUUCCAUCAAUUAGGAUUAUGACUAAAAUUAAAUUACGCGCCUAACUUAUUUUAUUCUUAUCUAUUCUGCAAACUAAACAUAUUUACGAUGCUACGUCCAUUUCCGUCAAUUAGGAUUAGGAUUAAAAGUAGAUUACGCGCCUAACUUUUCUGAUCAUAUUCAACAGCUCAGAAUAAUUUUUCCGACAGCAUCCUAUCUUUAGUCAAAUUGUUUCUAAUUUUAAGCUGUACUGUCUUCUUCGAUCUCACAGUGUGAUGGGACGAUGAUUUGAGAAAAAAUGGACAGAAAAAGGCAAUUUCGAUAAUCAUGACUGAUUUUCUUUUUUCAAGACUUUUUGCAUAUCUUUUUAUUAAUUUCCAUAUGUUAGUAUAUCAUAAACUUGCAAGUCUCCAUCUCAAAACUUAAAGGAAAAUAUUGAGUUUUCCUUUUAAUAAAACUUCGUUGAUGAAUGAUAGCUUAAAAGCAUAAUAUAUUAAGGUUGCUUUUAGAAAAUAUUAAGUAGAUUACAUGAUUAUUAGCCUAGUCUUUCACCUUAAUAAUUUUGCGUCCCCAUGUUAAUUAUAUAACACAUUCUUUAUAAAUGUAUAUUUCGCUUGAAGUAUGCCUAACAACUAAAUUUAUGAUAUAUAUAUAAUGUAAUUAGAUUUUCAACUUCAACAUUUUUUUUGGUCUUAUUGCUUUUUGAGAUAAUCUCAUUUAUAUAUUUUUUAUUUCCUCAUUUUAUGCUAAACUUUAUAUAUAAUUAAUUUAUACUAAUUCAAAAUUUACAUAACAAAAAUUUAAAAUAAAAAAUUAUACUUGAUUCUUGAUAUAUAAUUAGAUAACGAAAACAAUACUAAUUAGAUUAAUUGAUGGCAUUUAAUGCACUAGGAUUUUUUUUAAUUUUUAAUAACCCUCUAAUGGAUUUGUUGUGUAUUGAUAGGACAGGAGACCUAACCAUAAUUUUAUAUAAUGAAUUUUUACUUCUACCUAUUAUAAGCUUUAAACUUGUUUACACAAGUUUACCGUCUCGAGUCUACAUUUAAUAUUGAAGUCUAACUCAUUUUAUUAAAUCAUAUCAUAAAUUAUAAUAUUAUCAAUUUAUAAAAACUAAAUUAUUUGAACUCAAUUUUAAUAAAAUACAAAAAAAUAAUGUAAGUCCACACUUUAAUUUUAUAAAAAAAUCUAACCCUUUACACAUUCUUAGUAAUUAUUUUUUGUGCAAUUCGAAUAGCAUAAGUCAUGACCGACAUAAUCCAUUGAUCCGAUGGUCAUUUUUUUUAUUUAAAAAAUUUAAGAAAUAAUGAAUGGAUGAUUGUCUUUAUGAUAAAAAAAAGUUAAUCUCAAAUAUUAGUAACGAGAUGAAUUCAAAGAAGUAUCAUAAUAUCAGAAUAUUUCAAAUUAAAAGAUAAAAUCUUAAUUGUAUCAUCUUAUGAAUUGUAACUAUUUUAAAAUUUUAAAAAGAAACUUGUACCAAAAACUUAAAAAUUAAGCUAGCUCCAUAAAUGAUGUGUGUGCCAUCGAGGCUAACAAUAUUAGCUCGAUAUAUACAUAAAAUUAAUUAUAUAAUUUUGAAACUUCACAUAUAUAUAUAUAUAUUAAAAUCCUUGUAAUACUAUCCAACUUGUUUCAAAAAAAUAAUGUUGCUAAUACGGUGCAAAAAUCCACAGUGGGAAGAAAUUAAAGAGCGAAUCAUCAUAUAUAAAAAAGUACACAUCAUUAUUUUCAUAUGUUACAGUAGAGGAGAUUUUACACAAACAAUCAUAUUCACAUCAAAUAUGAAAUGUUAGGUAUCACAAUGCCACUCACUCAAAUCUUUGAUGUCUUCAUCAAUUCUAUACAUCAUAUCCACAGGACCAAGAUCUCACCAGAGCAACUGGUUCAGUAACUUUUUGGGUCUAAAUUACGUGAUCCUCAAAAGCUUAAACUCAAGUUGCUAGUAGUGAUGGGCUUGAAUUGUUAUAUAAAUAUUAACAAUCACAUUCAUAUCAAAUGUGGGAUGUUGUGUAUUACAAUACCACCCACUAAAAUUCUUGAUGUCCUCAUCAAGACCACACAUCACAUCCACAAGACUAAGAUUUUACCAGAGCAAUGUGAAAGUUCACAUCGGAUUGAUACAAGCUUUGAUACCAUUUGUAAAGACCUAAAUCCAAACACUGGACCAACAGUUUUUUGGGCCUAAACCACGUUGCUCUCAAAAACUUAAACUCAAGUUGCUAGUAGUAAUUGAUUAAGAUUAUUAUAUAGAUCUUAAAAAUUACAUUCACAUCAAAUAUGAGAUGUUGGGUAUCACAGUAACGAUUCAAGCAUGGAUAACAUACUGAGUAAUGAGUCAGAACUCAAAGAGAAGAGAGCGAAAUUGUCUUAUUUUGUUAUUUCUACCAUACAUAUCACAUAUGUAUAGACUUAAAUAUAUUACUCAGUUUGGUAGCGGAGGCCCUCCGGGCGACUUCUCAAAACCUGUUGGCUUACCACUGUCCAAGUUUAGUGAGUUUUGUUUAGCAAGACUAGUCUCCUUUGCGGGCCUCCGACUGUGAAUUAUUGGAGGCUUGCUGAUGCGGUAACGAUCAGGACGAGAUGAAGUGGUGAAGAGCACCAGAAGGAGGAGCAACGCCAGCAAGUAGGUUUUGGAUUGCAUCUUUCCACCCAUGCAGUGCUGGAUCUAAGACUCUAGAUAGGAUGGUGCAGAAUUGGAAGAACUGAAGUGGUAUAUUUAAGUGGAUCAUGACCUGUAACUGCACGACAUGUCUCUUUCUGCAUUUCCUUGGUUGAACACUAACAAAAGAGAUUUUUAUUUGAAUGGAUCCAAUCCCAGUUAGAUGAAGCCCAAUUUUUCCUACUCAAGCCCAUCCAUAUUAAAAAAUAAAAAACACUAAGAAAUGUGUGUGUUUGAUUGAUGUAGUUUGAGAAAAUGAUUAGUACCCCUAUUGAACGAGGGAAACACUGAAAGAUGCAUGUAAGCGAUAAAUUUUCUGGGAAAUCUCUUCUCCUCUUUCAAAAAUAUUUUCAAGAUUUAUCCAUACUCCGAAAAUUUUUCUUGAUGGCACCAUAACUAUAUAUGAAGAACAAAUUUUAUACAAUAAAAGUAAAAUGCAUGUCCAUGAUCAUUAGCUGUUAAAAACAAAGUACAAUAGCUACCGUUACUAGAGGCACCUUGGUGCCAGAAGGAAACCGAUCCUUAUAUAGUAAAUUCAAGGUUCAAGAUGGAUCGAUAAUCACUAGCGCGCAGCUCUUAUUUUUUACCCCACAUAGAUUUACAUCAUUGAUUCUAUAUCUGUAUAAUAAUUAAGUAGUUAAUUUGAUGUUGGGAGGCUUAUGGGGUGGUUUUUCCAAUGGGUUUGUGUAAAUGUUCAACACGUGUUUAACAGGACGGUGUGCAGGGAAGGGUUGGCGCGGUGGUUUGUGUCCAGGCCGUGGCUUGUAUUCAGGGAAUAUUGUUUUCUCCUCUUCAUCAAGUAAGGUUGGUGGCCUGUGUUUUGGUGGUGGCUUAUUAGGUUUACCAUCCAGGGUUAGUGUCAGUGAGUUUUGUUCAAGACAAGUUUCCUCCGCUGGAGGCUGGAGGCCUCUGGCUCUGGGGUGUGAUCAACAAAUAAUUGAAAGGGGAAGAGCAGCGCCCCAAGAAGCAGUAAUAACACCAGCAAGUAGGUUUCUGAGUGCAUCUCUUCGGCUCUCGUCUCUUUGAUGAUGGUGCAAAACGAGGAUUGGGUCACAUGGGUAUUUACUUUAAUGGAUCACGACUGCCGAGAAUGAUGCUCAAUAUGUGGAGCACCGAAAAAGUAGACCAGCUGGAUACUUAUGGAGCUUAAUUUCCAACUGAAGCCCAGCUAAUUGACUCAAACAACUUGUCCACUUACCAAUUGCAGGCCAGACUUGCACUUCUUUUUUCUUUUUGUGGUUAUCAACAAAAUAAUCCGUACGAUAAUGGCUUCUUUGCAAUAGAUGCGACGUGGAGUGAAAGUGGCGGGAAUAACCAUGAAGAGUCAUCAUCUUGGUGCGCGAUUAAGGCCUUUCCUGCAAGAGAAUUAUUCCCCCUCCUCAGCGGCAACACUUUUGGGAAGAUUGAACCAAAGGGCUUUUCUCUCCCCCAAAAAUAUAUGACAAGAUUUCAUUACAUAAAAAAAAAUGUAAUUGAAACCCAAAUUUAUUGUAAUGCCAUCUACCAUAUUAUUCAUUUAUCUGAUUUUAAUUCAUAAAAAAAAAUCCUUUUACUAUACUUUCCUUUAUCAUAGUUUUUGUUCCUAUUUGCUGGAGUUUGUCUUUGAUCAAAUCAGCUUACCUAAGAGAAAGCAAACCAAUCUUCACAAAAUCAACUUUCUUAGUUUAAAAUGGUAUAUGUUAUCAACUUUUUUGCUUAAAAUAAUAAUAAAUUUCAAAUCAUACUUUUUUCCUUCUGCUUUUAGGAUUUGGCACUUGUAACUCUUAUCUAUUCAAAGUCAUCCUUAAAACAUUUUUAAUCUUAAUGAAAAUGUUAUCAUCAUUAACAAAAGUUAAUUUAUUCGAUGACUCACUGAAAUCAAUAGGUAAUAAUGGUAUUUUCCAAUGCCUUGUUGAUUCUGUGUUUGACAAUUGCAUAUCACUUAAAAAAGAAAGAUAGAUGUGAUUAAUCAUAACGCGAUUCAUUAUUUGUCUUCCUUCCCACUUAUAGUCUCUUGACCAAGAUAUAUAUGGAUUUGAUAAGACAAUGAUCCACCCCUUUUUUAAUAUAGAAAUAGUCUCUAUGAUCCUAAUCUAACCUUCAAACUAUAUUAACUUAUUGUUAAAUGAUGUAACCCUAGGGCUGAGACAUAGUUAAGAAAUAAAGUCAAUAAGGAAGGGAAAAAAAUUGAUACAGAUAUAUCAUAUACUUAAUUUAAUCAAAAUUUAGCUUCAAGAAUACUAAAAAAAAUAGAAAAACAAAAGGAAUCUGUUAGCAUAGCUAACAAUUCAUGGAAAUUGACCAUUUUUUGUAGCUUUCCAGGGUGAAUUGCUCCAAUUUAGAGUCUAAGGAAAGUUAAUGAAAUGAAAAGACAAUCAUAUACCUAUUUAACUUGUGAGAAGUAUGGAGAAGACAAAAGAGCACGUUAGAUUACUAAUUAUUUAACCAAUUUGAGUUGAAUCAGUUUAGACCACUUUAUUCAAAGGGAUUUUUCACUGGGCUGAGAUUGCACUAGUUUUGUUCUUCUGCCAAAGGUUUUGCAUCCUUUGACUGAAAAAGUCAUUCUGAAAAUUAAAAAAAUUAAAUGAAGUCAUCUUUUUGUGAUAGCAAUAAACAAAAGGAAUUCACAUUUCCAACAGAUGUAACAUGUUGGCAGCCUUCCUUAGCCUCGUAUUGGAAUAAAUCAAAACAAACAACAACCGGUAAACAAUGGAAUCCUCAGCUUUAGGCCUCGUUUUGGUGUGCUGUUUGCCGCUUUUGCAAGUUGCCGAAGUUACCUGUUUCUGCCUCCCCGCGGUUUCAAAGCCAAGCCUCCCUGCCCCUAUUCUCCUCCCCUAACCUCAAUGUCCUAAACAAGUCAAAUCGAUUUCUACAUUUUGACGCGUCACCCUCUUUCAUUUCAUCUCCCAUUCGGGGUCCAUUUGUUCACCUACUUUGCACACUCUUUUGCUUUCUCUGUUGUUUUUCAUUUGAGUGAUCAUCUCUUUUCUAUUCUCUACACCUUCUCUUCUUAUUCUCCUCAUCAUUCCCUUUCUAUAUUUCAUUAUUUGUAAAAGAAAGAACACCAAGAAUAUAUUCUCGUGGCUGUCUUUUAAAUCCAAAGGGUACCAACCAACCAUUCUUUUCUGCAUGAACAAGAAAAGCAAACCAAAAGAAAUAAAGAACAUAAAUGAAAAAAGCCCCGCGCACCAAGAACGACCAUUCCAUGUUUAAAAAAAAGAACUUCCCAUUUUUCUUUCCUUCUCAAAAUAUUCUCUUUCACUUUCAUUAGAAGAUCGUAGCAUGUAGGUGGUGGUAGACUUCUUUGUUUCUUUAUUCCUUCUCUUAGCCUUUUAUUUUAUCUUCUUGGCUUUCUGUUAUUCUUCUUCUUUCUUGUUUCUUCUUCUUUUUCUUGUUUGGUCCAAGGAGUUGAUCAGUUUUUUUUUUUGGAGGAUAAGAGGAGGAAGGUGUUGGGCUAUGGAACCUCGAGUUCUUGAUGGUAUAAUCAAUAGGUUGCUUGAAGUUAGAGGGAAACCGGGGAAGCAAGUGCAGCUUUCCGAGUCCGAAAUAAGGCAGCUUUGUCUUGUUUCUAAAGAUAUCUUCUUGAUGCAGCCCAUUCUUCUAGAGCUUGAAGCACCAAUUAAGAUCUGUGGUAUCUUCUUUUACUCUGUUUUCUUCAAUUUUAAGUUUCUCUCUCUGUUCAGAGUCAUGGUUAAAAUUGAUUCUUUCGUAGUUGGUUGCUACCAGUUUAUGAGUUUGAAUAUGGAAAUUUCUUGUUUUAGGUGUGACUUGUUGUGUGAUUUAUCUCUGAAAAGUUCUAAAUUUAUUUUCUUAUGUGCUGGAGGUGCUGAAUGAUGAUGAAUAUGUUCAUAAAUUCUUCAUUUCAGUGAUGGAUGUGGAUGAAUUUAAGUUUCAGAUGUGUUUUCAUCUGUUUUUUUGCAGUCAGGCUUGAAGUUCUUUUGCCAGGUAUAGUAAUUAUAUUGCAGGGUGGUAGUUACUACUGUCAUGUUAGGGUAGGGUUUCGAUUCGUCGUUCCUACUUUAGUAUUAUAUAAUUGACAUAUUAAGUAUGAACCAUGCUGUUUUGUUAAAUUCUGGGUUCUGACUUGGGAGAUUGUGAUGGCAAUUUGAAUGCACUUAGAUCAUCUGCAAUGUGUGACCUUCAAACCUUAAAUAAGAGAUAGAGCUUUUCAGUUGUUCUCUGUUCAGUGCUGUAUGUUGACUGUUAUUGAUUUUGGCUUGAGAGAUCACGUUAUGGCUGCAAAUUAGUGUUUGAAACUUUGGUCAUAUAUUGUGCUUGUCAGUUCCCAAGCUUAUUAGCUCUAUACUGAGAGCUAAACCAGGGGAUUCAGUCGUUGAAAUGCUGAAGAGGCUCCCAUAAGUCACUUAUACUGAACAUAUGUCUUAUAUACUGCUUCUUUUCAUGACCCAGGAGAUAUUCAUGGUCAGUAUUCUGAUCUCCUGAGGCUUUUUGAGAAUGGUGGUUUCCCUCCUCGUGCCAAUUACUUAUUCUUGGGGGAUUAUGUAGAUCGUGGAAAGCAAAGCCUGGAAACAAUAUGCCUUCUCCUUGCAUACAAAAUAAAAUAUCCGGAAAACUUUUUCCUUCUCAGGGGCAACCACGAAUGUGCUUCUGUGAAUCGUAUCUAUGGAUUUUAUGAUGAAUGUAAGAGAAGAUUCAAUGUCAGGCUCUGGAAAGUAUUCACCGACUGUUUCAACUGCCUGCCUGUGGCUGCUCUGAUUGAGGAAAAGAUAUUCUGCAUGCAUGGGGGACUUUCACCUGAGCUCCGCAACUUGGACCAGAUUAGAAAUUUAAAGAGGCCUACUGAUGUUCCAGAAUCCGGCUUACUAUGUGAUCUCCUAUGGUCUGAUCCUAGUAAAGACAUUCAGGGCUGGGGGCCAAAUGAUAGGGGAGUUUCCUAUAUGUUUGGUGGUGAUAGGGUGAUAGAUUGUCUCAAGAAGCUUGAUCUUGAUUUAAUAUGUCGAGCUCACCAGGUUUAAAUACGUUUUUACAUGAAGCAUUUGCUGCUAAAUUCUUAUAGCUCGGCUUCCUUUCUCUCAUCAACUGGUAUCUAUCGCAGGUUGUUGAAGAUGGAUAUGAAUUCUUUGCUAAUAGGCAACUUGUAACCAUAUUUUCAGCACCUAAUUACUGUGGAGAGUUUGACAAUGCUGCUGCCAUGAUGAGCGUGGAUGAGACAUUAAUGUGCUCUUUCCAAAUAUUAAAGCCUGCAGAUAAGAAACCGAAGUUUGGCUUUGGAACCUUAACUCCAACAAAGCCUUCUACUCCUUCCUCUAGAAUCAAGGUAUAUUGAAUAUCCUUGCCCAUGUUGCUUCAAAUACAUGAAUCUUAUCUUCACAUUCUUUUUCCUUUGGACAUUAACAGUAACUUGUGAAAGCAUGUUGUCUAACUGUUGGGGCAUCUUGGAGCCAAACUCAUUGUUUGAAUAUCCAUAAUCUAGCUAAUUUCUAAUGAAGAAAAGAGAGUCAGCAAUGCUGGUGAGAAACCAGGAAGGUUCUAUCCUCAUGAUCAUUUAAUACAUACUCCGGCUUCCUUUCCUUGGAACAGAGCUCAUUCUUUCUUCUGAACUUUAAUUGUUAAUUCUCUUUGUUAAGUUUCUUUGAUGGGUUUUUUUUUUUCUUUUCUUUUGGGGAUUUUCUAAUUGUUCUUGAAUUCUCAAAAUAUUCCCAUGUCCAUAUACUUCUUGCCUUCAAAAUUUGGCACCUUGUUUUCAGGUGCCCUAGCUUGUUUUCACUAAUAAAAUUCCAUGUCUGAAGAACUUGUCCAUUGAAUUCUUAGUUCGUCUUAUUCAUUGUAGCUUUCCACCUUCAAAGGCCUAAUAUUCACUUUUGAUGAGCUAUUAACUGUUUCACCUGGUUCUUUGAACAUUACUUUUAAACUUAGGACUCAACUACAGGGUAUCUCAUUUCUAAAAAUUGCCUUCAUUUCCUUAUUCUUGUAUGAAGUUAGCUGAAAAGUUGCCCAGGGUAUCCAUCGUUUCGUUACUCUGUGCUUUUGUGGAAAUUCGCAUCAAUUUCUUUAAACAUCUUAAAUUUUUGUUUUCCAGUCAUUUCUUGGAGCAAAGGUAUAUGGUGUUUGAACUGAUGGAGAUAUCAGAAGGAGGUUGCUGCCUGUGAUCAAAGGUGUAUGGAAUAUUUCAAAAAUAGCAGUCCAGAAAUCUAGUGAUUACUCUAGGAGUUUUAUUUUGAUGAAGAAGAAACAUUUUGCAACUUUUGUUUUUCAUCUGGGGAUGAAAACAUGUUUCCUCCACCUGCAAAAUUAUUGGAGGCUGUAAAUUUUUAGUUUGCUUUGACCCCUGUGUAUCAGUUUCAACAUGGUCUAACUGAGCCCUCUUUUUUCCCUCUUCUUUCAUCUUUGUAUUUGCUCAGCCUCUUUGGUCAGGCUGCUCUAGUUGUAUUAUAGUCAAAGGAUGGAAAAUGUAAGCAGGGUGGAGAGUUUAUGCACGGGUUGGAUAUCCAAAUGCUCCUUGAUCUUGGGAAUUGCUGAUGUUGUGUCUCAUUGCAUGUAAAUCAGCUUAUUACAUACUUGUGGCAGACUUUGGGCAUCAUUUUUUUUGUCUCAACAACUCAUUUGGCACUAGUCUUAUAAAAUAUGGUCUGUCAAAUUUAUUUGCAUAAGGCUCUUGCUAUAGUCUUUUAGGGGUUAAACUGUAUCACAGUCGCUCUGUUGCUUGGCAUUAAUGGACUUCUACUCUUGUUAAAGAUGAAAAUAUAUAUGAUUGGGAGUACUUCUCUUAUUUUAUGUUUGCAGGAGCAGGAGCAGGAGGAGGGUUGCCACUUGAUGUAAGGAAAAAACAGAAGGCUCUUUGAACUCUUUGGAAUUGGAAUUGGAAUUGUUGCUUCUUUCGGAUCAUCCAAGACAUGAAAAGACUACAACCCGUGGGUAAAACAAAACAACCAGGAAAAAUAAAAAGUACAGAGUGGAAACUAGAAACGCAGCAAGGAAGGAAAAAGGAAAAAAGAACAGAAGUAAGACCAGAAAUAUGGUUCUUAUUUCUGACAUAAUAAUAAUUGCAACAAUCCAACAUCUAAGGCAAUGCAAUUUUUAAACCGCUUCCUCUAUCCACAUUCCUGGAUUUUCUAUGCUGUUGUCACCGAUCUUUGGAGCUGCAAUAUUGAAACCUGAAAGGGUUUUAUCAUUUUUAUUUCAUGUGCUUUGACAAAUGUAAAUUGAAGCUUGAUCCACCUUCAGCUGAAGGUUGGGGCCUAACUGCAGUAGUGCCAUGGGCUCUUAAUGCUGCAAAAAUUGAGUAAAUCAAGGUCUCACCAAAAUAAUCCAUAUGCAAUUGUGCAUAGGCUUCUGCCAUAUAACACAUUAUUACAUGAGACUCGAAACUUAUAUCACCUAAGCCCACUCGCCCCCUCCAGAGCAGAUGAGACCAUGUUAUAUUUCAGUCUCAAAUAAAAGAAAUCCGGUUUCCAACUUUAGCACUAUCAGUCCCCACUUUGAUCGAAGUCUUGCACUUGAAUCAACACUAUUAAGAGGUCCAGGUUCUACCAUGGGCCAUAUUAAAUUUUAGAGUAUAGAUUAGUCCUGAAACUCAAUAUAACUGAAUCAAGGCACUCUCACUGGUGUAACUUUAGUUCUUUACUCGUUCAGAUUAGGAAAAAGUUUUGGUCAAUCCCAUUUGUCUUUGCUGCCACCUCAUAACAUUCCCCUGUUUACAGGCACGAGUGAAAAAUUUUCAAAGUGGUCCAUUGGGCAUAAUUCUUUGCUGAUAGAAGUCCGUUGGACGAAACAAUAAAGACAAAAGGGAUCUCAUCUUUUGGACUUUGGCAUGGAAUCAUUUGCUUUUCUGGCACGCAAAGAACUGAACGAGUCUCACGUUUAAGUCUCCCCUUUAAGACAGCCAAUUCUAUUACCUCUAAUGGGGACUCAUCUAGGAGAGAAUAAUAUAAGGUAGGUUCCUGCAGCUUGCAAGGUUGCCGUUUUAGUUACAUCAGUUGAUUGUAUAUGUAGCAGUAAAGCGUGUGGAAAUUUUUCGAAGUCAUCUCUUGGAGAGUGAGGUGUGGGUUAGAAGAGAAUUUUAGCUGGUAGACAAAAGUGAGAAAUUACAUUUGUUUUUCGACCAGAGAAAUUUCAUGCAGGGUGCUACCUUGAUUCCCAUGAGCUUUCCCUUUCUUUAAUUUGGUUUUCUCUUUAGGUUUACUGGCCGCUGUUGACUUGGUGUUCCAAACUUGUAUAUCUGGGCAACUUUUUAAGAUGAAUACAAGGUUGUUUAAGUGAGUUCCUGUUCUCGUUAUCUAUCUAUCUACCUAUCUAUUUAUGUCGGACUCAUUUGUAAAGGAAAGUAGCCAUUGAUAUCCUUUUCCCAGUGAGUUUCUAGGAAACCCACCGGAGGGAAGGACAAUUGUCUUGGUCUGGCUAGGCAGGUUAACUGCCUCCUAUAGUAAUGAAACCUUUAAAUAAGUUGCAAGGUGCCGAAAGCUCUGCAGGAUCCAUCCGUUCUCACUGGUCAAAUAUUUUGCACCAAAUUAAAUUGAUUAAUUAACUAAUCUGAUACCUCCACUUUAACACUGUUUUUUUGGUUUGAUAGCAACAUAAAUUAUUAAAAAAUUAAAGAAACAAAACUAAGGAGCACCUUUUUGACUUUAAUGUAUAAGCUUUUGUACAUUAGUAGAGGACUCUUUGUAGGCAAAACGUGGCUGGACAAGAAUCUUAGAAUCUUAGUUAAAUUAACUUUAAUAACUUUAAUCUAAUACGGUAAAAGUAAUCAUAUAACGUCAGAUUUUGUAUUUUAAUCAGAGUUUUGCUUUCAGGGAACAUUUACACUAUGACUGCAAGCCUAAUAUGAAAACUAGUAGGUGGGGCUGCUAUCAGGAUUAAUUUAGUCCUUUCAAGCUUGUAUUAUGGAAGCUAUGGCGUCAAAGCUUUGUAUUUAGCCCUAUGCUACUGCACAAAAAAAAAAAAAAAAAGUCCUGUGCUAGCAGAUGGGAGCAACAAAACGCAAGGCUUUGAUAGGCAACUAGGCAACACAUGUUUUAGCAAAUCAUAAUUUUUCAUUGUUAGAUGAUAUGUAUUAGUAUUGUGAUAUACAACAUUUCACAUAUGAUGUGAAUGUGAUUGUAAAGAUCUAUAUAAUAAUCAAAGUCUAUUAUUAUUAGUAAUUUUAGGCCAAAUAAACUACUGUACCAGCGGUUGGACUUGAAUCGUUAUAAGUACUUAGAUAUGUGAUAUAAAAUUAUGAAAAAAAAUAUCAAACGAAAAAUUAAAAAAUAAUAAAAGAUUUCUAAUGAAAUUAUCACUUAAUUUACUUCAAAAGAAUUAUAUAUUAAAGUUUGUUGGUCAACAUUAUUUUAGAUUAACAGAAUGGUCCCAAUAUAAUUAAUAUACAUUGAAAAAGGCAUGUGAAUGCAAUUAAGUUCAUACAUAUUUGUAUAUAUUAGUCACUUUAUAUUAGUCACUAUCAUAAUGAAAACUUGAUGUGUGAACUAAUUAAACCAUUAAUAUGAGUUAUCACGAGGAAUAUUCCAAUUUGAUAUAAAAUUGGGUAUUGCAAAUUUGCUGUCCCCUUCACUUAAAAUAUCGACAAUUGCAGUCAUAAUCGAAACUUGCAGAGAAUUCAACUACAGUUAAUCAAAUUAGCACAAUAUUAAUAUGAAUUUCACUGCUUUUAUUGUCAAUGUGAGAUCAUAAAGUAUCGCAAAAAUAAAUAAAAGUAGGCAAAUCCGACAUCAUAAAAUGUUGACCAUAAAACAGCUGAUAAAAUUGUUAUAAAAAAAUUGGCAAAUAUUGUUGUGAAUGUGAUAAGCAAAACAUGAUUUGCAUGAAGUUCCGGCGCCGCUGCUUAUAUAUCGACUCAGGGAGCAAGGGGCUCAUUCAGAAAGGUCAACUGCCUCUACUAUAUUCCUUUUUUUGUUUUUAUGCAAUGCAAAUGGCUGCCAGCAGGUUUCUAACUUCAAUAUACAACCCAACGCUGUGUGUGUGUGAAAAAUUUUUGCCGCAAAGCUAGCUAGUCUUCUUCAAUAGUUCUUUUUUUAUAUGUGGAAAAUGAUAAGGAUGAGUCAUGUCUGUGCAUUUUUUCCUCGCGCUGUCAGUUAGGCAUAUCCAUCGGUAAGAGAAAUACGGCUUGAAACUAAAUCAAGCAAUCAUUUGUUUAUGCUACAAGUUAUGCUCUGACCAAAAUUAAAUUGUAUUAAUUAGGACUAAUUAAUUAAAGCAAAACCCUGAUGAUGAUCAUUCAAAGCCAGAAGCUCAAAGUCAAGCAUGGUGCAUUCAUGCAGCUCUGAAAUUAAGUUCAAAAUGAACUGAUGGUUUGUAGCUCUGAUGGUUUCCAUCAAGUUGUUAAGGACAUGGUAAGAAAUGAUUGGGAAACAUUUGCAGUUUGAAGGAUUAAUUCAACCAAAUAUUCUACUGGGAACCACACUUCCCCUCAAUCAGAAGGUUUCCAAUUUAAAUUUAACUAUAAUUAAUUAAGGGAAUAACAACUGAGGCAGGAGAGAAAAUGAUUGUCCAUUUUCCAGUUCUAUCUGUCUGAUAUAUUUGAAUGCUUUCCUAGCAGGCUAAAUUGGAUUCAGACUAAAAAAUAACAUAAUCUGGCUUGUUUUCACAUUUAGCAUGAUCAUUCAAUUGUUUUGCAGAUGAAAUGUAGCAUCAAGUCUUUCCCUGGACAAAAAAAAAAAAAACUUGUUGCUUCACACAAAUGGCUACUUGCAAGUGGCUGUUAUUUUCAUCUCUCUGUCUGAUAUUGAUUCAAGAAAAUGGCAAUCAGUUGACUUUCUUUGCCUUCAAAACAUCAAAUAGUAUAUCUCUCUGCCUUUAUUUACACUUUUGUAUGCAUUGCGAGAUGAUGAUAUCCAUGAUGUAUUCUUUACUUCCCAUAUCAGCUUUGCACCUUGCAAAAAAAUACUCUUUAAUUUCCAGCAUUACCAUAAAAUGCGAAAUACAUUAGAUAAAACAUGUUGUUCCUACUACCAAUUGACAUUGCGAUCCAAUAUCUUUAAUUUUUAAUUGUUUUUGGUCAUAAGGUUAGUGUAGUAGGUGAAUGAGUUCUUCUGAAAUGUUUGUAUCUAUGACUCAACAAGUCAAUAAUACAAAUGAGCAAUCCAAAGAUGAAAAGUUAACUAAUUAUAGUGGUAAAUCUAUAAUGUAAAAGAGAAAGGAGCAAGAAAGAAAAGUUGUUGUUAGUGAAAAUUAACAUGAUCUUGAUGCUGCUAUUCUAUUGGCAAAUUAUAGACACUAACCCUGGAGAAGACCAGAAAGGUUAAUUCUAUGGCACUCCUACUUUUCUUUUCAGUAAUAAGUUGAGCCAAAGUGGAUAACUUGGUUUCCUAUUUCUCAGACAAUUUUCUUGCAUUAUCCAUCCUCCUAAUAGGCAACAGCUAUAGCUUGCACCCUUUUGUGUACUAUAAUAAUCUAGACUAUACUUAACAACUCCACAUACUCAAUAUAAAAUAAAAUAAGGAUGAGAAUUGAAUAAUUGACGUUGAGAGACACUAAAUUCUUCUUCUUGGUUUUUUUUUUUUCCUUUGCCUCAUUUUUUUUUGUAUAAAUAACACUAAUUUUUUAACUUAAUUGUACAAGGGUUGGGAAUUGGGACCACAACCGUUGACCAAACGAACAAUCAUGACUGUGAUUAUCCAAAAAAAAACACUGUUUUGAUAAUGUAAAUUAAUUUUGCACUACAUGUCUUGCAUCACUCAUUGUAUGUACAUAUAGUUGUAAUUAUAAAAUUUGGAUUUGAAUUCGAAUAUUUAAUUUAUUGAUUAGUGCAUUAUUUUUUACUUAAAAGUAAAAUUCGAAUCUUCUUUCUUUAAUUAUAAAAAAAAUUAAAUUUAUAUUAUUUAUGAAAGUGAUGUCUUUGGGGUCCAUCUAUGAGAACAUGGCCUAGCAAAUAUGAAUCACAUUCCUGAUUCCAAGGUUCACAUUGAUCCGUGUUGGAUUAUCUACAUGACACACGUUUAUCGACGGUUCAGCCGCAUUGUCUCUAAUGAAUUGGCAUCUCAUGGGAUGGGAGAGGAAGGUCGUACAAUCAUGGAGAGGAAAUAUCCGAGAAAAAAACACUGAAGAGAGUUAAUGUUGAGAAGGACAAUGUAUAGAAAGAAGAUGGGAAGACCUGUAAAAGAGUUGACUUAACAAAAAAAAAAACCAGAAAGGGAAUAUCCUCCACUAGAUGCUGUCAUGUGAAGUUCUCUCUCAUUUAAAAGGCCAACCACUCUUUACUUUCUUCAUUCACAAUUUCCCUUCCUGUCUCCACCUCAUCAUCCUUCAGAGCACUGUUCAGGAAACAGGUUAGUGUCUCCUCUGCAAUUUGUGAAGCUGGAAACUCUUUUUUCUUUCAAUAUAAUUGAUUGUGAUAUGAAAGGAAGAGUUCUCCAGUUCCUGGCUUAUUGGAAAUAGAAGUUCUGCUAGAUGUUCCAGGACCACUUUAGGCACCUCUAUCACUUUGUAGAUAACCUUCAGUAGUUUUUUAUCUCAUGUUGAAAAAUAAGGGACUUUAACUGAUUAUGGUAGGGCAGGCUUCCUGAAAAGGCACCAUGCACUGACAGAACUCCCUUACUAUUACCUUUUUCUCAUAUGGUUUUCCUUUCUUUUCUUCUAUAAUGAAAACAAAUUAAUAAACUGCAGUAGACAUAAUUUUCUUGAGUUUGAUUAAUGCUUUAUGUUUAAUUCUUUUCCAUCUCUACUGUUGUUUAAUUUGUGUCCAAAACUCCACAAAGAUGGUAGUAGAAGGAGGAAAGAGAAACCUAUUUCUGGCUUUCUGCAACUAGUUUUUUUUUUUUUCAUCGUCCAUAUUUGUAUGGCAUUGAGAGUAAUGCCAGAAUUCAAGGAUUUCCUAUAAAAUCUUUAUGGAAACUCCAUUCCCACCCUCCAAAAACAGGAGCUAAGUUCAGAUUGAAAUGACCUUCCUUUCUACGGUUGAAUUUGCUUAUUUUUCCAUGGUAAGAACUAAGAAGUUCAAGGAAAAGGAAGGUUUCCCUUUUUUGUUCCUUAUUAGGGGGUGGGUGAGACUGUCUGGUUUUGCAUAGUAGUCCAUGGCCAUGAGCUGGAAAUUUGAAUUUUUUGAGUCUUAAGAUUUCAAACUUCAAGUUUUACCCCAAAAGCAUUGAUCUUCUGGAAUUGCAAGUUGGCCUAACAAACCUUAUGAAAUUUUCCUUCUCAAUUUGUUUUUCAUCUAGUCACUUUCAAGAGUUGGUACUAGUUGCAAUUUUUUCUGCAGGCUGUCUUGACAUGGAAUAGCAGUAGAACGUUGUCUGGAUGGUGAUAAUUGAAGACUCAUUGACUAAAAAUUACUGGUUACGGAAGAAUUGGGUAAUACUACUUUAUUAACAGUAAUGUGGGGUCAAUGUCGUCCAUCCUUUUCCCAUUAAACAAAUAAGGUUUUCUCAUGCAAUCAAUUCAAUGGGUUUGGUGAUCUGAAAUAAAAUAGUACUACUAUGUGAUUUCUCCUAUUGUGCAGUAAAUGUCUUAAUUAUCUAGAUAGAAUUUGUGAAACUUGUUGAAGUCUGCAUAGGAGAAGAAAAACAGGAAUCUCAUCAUGCUUUGUCCUCUAAUGGGCUAUAAUUAGGUAAACGUAAGGGAGGUUUUUCGUCUUUUCUGAUAUUUUGUUCAGCAUGAAUUGACUGAUUACCCAUUAUGUAAGGUAAUAAGAAGUCAAGGAAAGAAAUUAAGAAGAAAUUCUGCAAAGCUUAGCUGCUGCAAAGUAGCCCAUGGAAUCAGCCCCUUCCCUAUAGUGAUCCUUUUUAGCAAAGAGUUCCAGAAAAAUUCUUGUCUUUUUGGUGCUAAAUUCGUUUAUUGACGAUGACAAGAUAUAAUUGAUCAUUUCCAUCCAUUACCAAUUUCAAUUGAUAUCCCAAUUGUUCUAAUGCAGGACUGUGGAAGAGGUUGAUACCAUAAUUUGCAAUAUCCAGCCAUGGCUAGAGAACAGUUGGGAGUGCUUAAUGCACUGGAUGCAGCCAAGACACAGUGGUAUCAUUUCACUGCAAUUGUUAUUGCAGGGAUGGGAUUUUUCACUGAUGCAUACGAUCUGUUUUGCAUCUCCUUAGUCACCAAAUUACUAGGCCGUAUAUACUACCAUGUUGAUCGUGCACCAAAGCCAGGCACAUUACCUCCAAAUGUUGCAGCUGCUGUGACUGGGGUCGCUUUUGUUGGCACUUUAACCGGCCAGCUGUUUUUUGGGUGGCUUGGUGACAAAAUGGGCCGGAAAAAGGUCUAUGGUAUAACUUUGAUCCUCAUGGUUGUGUGCUCUAUUGCCUCAGGGCUGUCAUUUGGAAGCAGUCCAAAGGGUGUUAUGGCUACCCUUUGUUUCUUCAGAUUCUGGCUUGGUUUUGGGAUUGGUGGUGACUAUCCUCUUUCGGCCACAAUUAUGUCUGAAUAUUCUAACAAAAAGACUCGUGGAGCGUUUAUUGCUGCAGUGUUUGCAAUGCAAGGCUUUGGGAUUUUGGGUGGUGGAAUUGUGGCUCUUAUUGUCUCUUCUUCCUUUGAUCGUGCAUUCAAGGCGCCUGCCUACUCUGUCAAUGCAGCAGCCUCAACUGUGCCUCAGGCUGACUAUGUUUGGCGCAUAAUUCUGAUGUUUGGUGCGUUCCCUGCUGCUCUUACUUAUUAUUGGCGAAUGAAGAUGCCGGAAACUGCUCGUUACACUGCCCUUAUUGCCAAGAAUGCAAAACAGGCUGCAGCAGACAUGUCAAAGGUGUUGAAUGUGGAUCUUGAAGCAGAAGAAGAUAAGGUAAUAAAGUUAACAGAAAAUCAAGCAAAUUCCUUUGGCUUGUUUUCUAGGGAAUUCUUGAAGCGCCAUGGACUUCAUUUGCUUGGAACUACUUCCACUUGGUUCUUGUUGGACAUUGCCUUUUACAGCCAAAAUCUAUUCCAAAAGGAUAUCUUCAGCGGAAUUGGAUGGAUUCCUCCAGCUGCAAGCAUGAAUGCGAUCCAUGAGGUCUACAAGAUUGCAAAGGCACAAACAUUAAUCGCCCUAUUCAGUACCGUUCCGGGGUAUUGGUUCACGGUGGCUUUGAUUGAUAUUAUUGGAAGGUUUGCAAUUCAAUUGAUGGGUUUCUUUUUCAUGACAGUUUUCAUGUUUGCUCUUGCCAUACCUUACCAUCACUGGACCUUGAAACCCAACCGAAUCGGUUUCGUAAUAAUGUAUUCCCUAACCUUUUUCUUUGCCAAUUUUGGACCCAAUUCUACGACAUUUGUUGUCCCAGCUGAGAUCUUUCCUGCAAGGCUAAGGUCAACCUGUCAUGGUAUAUCAGCUGCAGCUGGUAAAGCUGGUGCCAUAGUGGGUGCAUUUGGGUUCUUAUAUGCUGCUCAAAGCACAGACCCAACCAAGACAGAUGCAGGCUACCCAACAGGCAUUGGAAUCAGAUACUCACUUAUUGUGCUCGGGGUCAUCAAUUUCUUAGGAAUGUUAUUUACUCUCUUGGUGCCUGAAUCAAAGGGUAAAUCACUUGAGGAGUUAACAGGUGAGAAUGAGGGUGAAGUUGGUGAGACAGAACUACAAACUGGUCCUACUAGGACUGUUCCUCUGUGAUUUGAGCAAAGUUAAUUACAGCAGUUCUUAUUAUGUUAUGUGUGAGUUUCAUAGUGGCAUUUUAACUUCUUCUUGGUUUUCUAAAAUUCCUUGUUUGAGAAAGAUGCUAUAAUGAUAUAUAUUGGCUAGGAAAAGCUAUGAUCCAAGUACAACUAUAUAUAUAUAUAUAUACACACCAUGUACUAAAUUUGUUCUGAUUUUGUAAUAUAUUUUGUUCAUCUGUCCUACUGGAUUUUAAAAUAACUGUCUCCUUAUUCUUAUCUGAUAUAUUUCUUUUAUAUAUCAAAGAUGAGUAUGGUAAUUGCUCAAUCUGCAUCCAAAUUCAAGAACCACUUCCUAUUUUGUUCUAUUCUCUGGCAUAGUCCCCAGUGUUGAUUAAGCAACUGAACAUGCCAAACACCUCUCUUAACUCCCGAGCCUUAAUUUUCUUAUUAAGCAGCACUAAGUUCAUGUCAACAGAAAGAAAAAAAUAAUAAUAUAAAGUGCAAAAAGCUUAUAUGAUAAUAAAACUACCUACUCUGCUUUUUUUUUAACCCAAAAAAAAUUUUAAAAAAAGAUUCUCAGCCUGUAACUAAUUGCUCUUUCUUUUUGCCACAUCCAUUCCCUUUUCCAACUUAUUAUAAGGCUUUGUUAAGGAUUUUAUUAUUUUGAAUUUGGGUCUUGACUUUCAUCAUACUAUUUAAAAAAAAAAGAAAGAAAAAACACGCCAUAACUUUUGACUUUCUUGCCACGGGUGAUGGGACCAAAACAGUAGUUAUACUACUUCCAAAAUGACUAAACUAUUCCUUUGUCCGAAGGGUUUCCAUUCUCUGAUCAAUUUUGGUUGAUAUCAUAGGUUCUUGGGACCAGUUCGAGGUUGGGGUCACUUCCCUUCACAAGUUGUUGUAUGUAUAUUGCCUUUGAAGUUCUGUCAGCCAAUCCAUAACACAAACGAAUUGCAUUGAUGUUGAUAAUAACAGCCGCCUGUUUGAAGCCUGAAGGAAAUUCUAGUGGUUGUGGUCAUGUUUCAUAAGCAUUAAUUAUAAAUUAAUAAGGAAUUUUUUUUAUCCCUCAAUUAAAUUUCCCUUCACAAGGAAAACAUGUUUAUUAAAACGUAUUGCAGUGUCGUGCACAAAAGAAAGGAAUAAACUAUAGUUUUUACAAAAGUCAACUAUUUGGGUUGGAUUGGAGUGUUUGAUUUUGUAAAGAAGUUCCUGUAGCAGUUCAGAAUUACAGAAAAUUUUCCUUUGCGUAGCAUAAAGGAAAUGAAUAGGAAUAAUUUUUGUAAUCUCUAUGAAUAAGAGCACACAAUCCUGUGUACGGUAAAAGCUAGUUCGUUCCAGUUCUUGUUAGGCAAUCUUCCGGUUCUUCUUAAUUUCCAUCAUCGAGCCUGUAGGAAUCUACAUGCUUUCAAGCAUUCAAAGCAUUCAAAGCCUCCAGUAAGUUAAUUUAGGUAUGGCAAUCUAAAAUGGGUUUUAUUUUAUCUACGGCGUAAGUAAUAUGAGCGGCUCAGAGUUGACUGACGACUGGAUAGGCUAGAGUCUGAAGUUAUCUACUUAACUUAAUCCCAAUUUUUAUGGUCACCAUGUCUUUGGUAAGAUGAUAUGACCAACGCACUGUCCCUUGUGUCCUUCUCUUCCAUGCUUGUAUCAGAGGAUGCGGUCCAUUGAUUUCACUUCCAAACCAAGUUGACGAAACAGAAGAAGACUUUCACCACGAAUGCUAGGCCCCCAGAGUUGCAGCAAGAGACAAAGGCAAAAUAUUGCUUGACAAUGAUUCAAGACAGUGAAACCAGAUAUAGCAGAGUUGGAAAAUUCAAUUGCCAGAGGAUGCAAACAAUUCUGAUUGUUUGUCAGCUUGACAUCUUCUUGUUGGUACAAAGUUGCUUUUAUGUAAUAUGAAAGUGAAGGCCAAAACUUGUUCAAAAAGCAGCGCCAAGCUCGCAUUCAUGGUUGACAAACUAUAAGCAGGUGAGAUCGAAAGUCAGAAAGAUUCUUAUUUAAGAUGACAAUACAAAACCAGCCAAAUGCUAACAAGCCAAAAUUUGGAUGUUGGUCCCAAAUAUUUGAUCUCCACUAUUAUACAUCACCUUUAGACUUUUAGCUCUCCCCCUGAUCUAUGCUCUCAGGUAAGAGUCCACUAAAAUUUUGGGCAAAGGAUAUUGUUCUUUCCGUUAUGCUUACUGUUUUAUUAGGGGAAUGGGAACUGCAGCUAUGGAUGAUUAUCUCACUAGUUGCUUAAGCUAUAAUGCACCACGAUUAUUAUGGCACAUGCAACAAAUCAGAUUUGGCUUUUAACAAAGUGGUAUUCGGAAUUAAAUAUUAUAUAUAUAUAUAUAUAUAUAUAUGUAUAUAUAUGUAUAUAUCACAAUUUUUUCUUAAAGAUAAAAUAAAUGUUAUCAUGAACCGGAAUAAGAACAAAAAAAAUAUACUAUAAGUUAAUAAAGGAAUUAUAAGCAUAAGGAAUUGUCUAGUUUCACCAACAUUAAUCCAGCAGGCUUAAGAGAGACAAGUGUAGUUUGUGAAACUAAUCCAUUGUUCUACAAAUAAUUAAACAGUAGUACUAGCAAAAAGGUUUGUGAAUGGAGGAAUAUUUGUAAGUUGCUGUCAAUAUCUUUCUGAUAAUGGCUUUAUUGGAGGAAAAGAAGGUUUCGAUCUGGCUAGAAACCAAACUUUUCAGCUAAAAACGUUGAUCAAGCAGCCAAUUGUUGAACACUUGUGCAAUUCUAAACCCCAUUAAGUGAAAGGAUGAUGAGACAGGUUGUAUGGCAUUAAUUUUAAAAUGGGUUUGCUAUCAUUAUUUUGUACUUGUAUAGGGAGUUCGGACUAAAUGAUUUACCUCAAGAAUAAGUGCAAUGAAGGGACGAGUUCAAUAAUCAAGGAUUCAAUCCAAACUCUACGGAGGGAAAAGGCUGCAACAAAAGUGGUGCCUCACAAUAAUUCCUCUGUUUGAGGUUUAUAAUUACCAAAAAUUAAAUGUGUAAUUUCCACCGUGGAAAUUACCAAAGCCACCCGAGCAUUAAUUAUCAAAUUCCUAUCCAGCAUGAUCAGAUAUCCCCAAAGCCACUAUUUGAUUGCCUUGUACAAAUUGGAUGUAACCAUAAUCCUUAAUUUAUCUUUUUUAUUCUUUCACUUUUUCCUUGACAUUUAAUAUCAUCAAUAAUCAUAAAUUAUCUGAUUUUUUUAUUAAAAAAAUGAAAUUUUUUUUAUCAAAACUGGAAAAAGGUUAAACAUCUAUAUGCAUAUGCAUCUAUUUAAGCUUUUGAGGUAUUAAAAAAGUUAUUAGAAAUAAGUGUAUUUAGAUUUCAAAUGAAUGAUUUAAAUUCUGAAUAAAACAAGUAGGGCUGAGCAAAACUAAUCCAGACCAAUUAUCCACUCGAAUCAAAUGCGAUUUUGAUAAAAUGGUUCGGUUUAAUUGAUCAAUUGGAUUAAUUGAUCUAAAAUAUUUGGUCCAAUUGGUUUUUUGAUCAGUUCUCGGUUUUAAAAUUUUUGGACCAAUCCAUCCAAAAAACCAACUAAUUUUUUAUAUAUUUAUAUAUAUAGUCAUAUAUAUAAUUUUUUUUAUAUAUUAAGAAGAACUGAUUGUAAACUUAAUUAAUAAUAUAUUUAAAAUAUAUUAGGGUAUUGUAGGUACAUAUACAAAUCAUAAUCAUAGUAAUUUAAUAUUAGUUAUAUAUAUAUAUAUAUUUAUUUAUAAAUCUAUAUUAAUAUGAAAUUACAAGUUAUAUAUUUUAAAUGAUAUAAGUUAUAUGUUAAUAUUAUAAUAUUUGAUAGUAAAUAUCCUACAUAUUAAUAUGUUAUAAUUAUUACACCUUAGUAAUGUUUCAUAAUGUAAAAUGGUAUGAAUAUAUACAUAUAAUUGUAUAAAUAUAUUAUAUAUACAUAUACAUAAGCAUUAUUAUAAUUUAUAAUAAACUUUUCUUAUAUGAUUAUAUUUAAUAACUUUAUUAGUUAUCACCUUAGAUUUUAUAGCAUACUGUUUAUAAUUAGUUAUUAUUUAUACAAAUUUUGAUAUAAAAUAUUAUAANUUUAUAAUUAGUUUUUAUUUAUACAAAUUUUGAUAUAAAAUAUUAAAACAUAUAAGUUAUAUCAUUAAUUAAUUUCAUAUAUACAUAAUCAUAAAUGAAGUUCAUAAGUUUUAAUAUUAUAAUUUGUAAAAAAAGUGAUAAAAUUUUGAUCUAUUGGUUCAAAACCGAACCAACCUAACCAAUUUUAUAUUUGAUCGGUUUUGAUUUUUUAUUAUAUUUGAUCAGUUUUAGUUGGUUUUUUAAAAAUAAUUGGUUCAUUUGAUCCUUAAGUAUGGUAGACCAAACUAUCUAAUCCACCUAUUUGCUCACUCCUAAAAAUAAGUGUAUUUGUAGGUGUAACCAAUUAAUCCUUUUCCAGCAAAAAUGGAAUCUUCUAUAUGAUUUUUCUUUCCUUUCCAAAGUAGUAUACUAAUUCCUUUUAUAGAUAAAACUUUGGUGUAUAAUGUUUUUUAACUUUGAAACAUAGGUUUUUGAUGUAAAAUUAUAUUGACAUAACCAGAUUAUUAACUUGGUCAUCUCGAGAUAGAGCAAAAUUAAUUAUUUUGUUCCUAAUAAAAAAUAAUUGCUUUGUUUUAUCAUGAUCCCAAUUUUAAUACAUAAGCUAGAUUUAGUUAUAUUUGCCGUAAAUUGAAAAUCUGAAAUCCAUGUGUCCCGGCCCUUCCCAUUUACAGAUAACAAUGCUAAAAAAUAAAAUAAAAAAAUCUAAUUAAGAUUAUUGAUAAUCGUAUCCCUUAAAGACAAAUCUGAUUAAGCAAACCCAAAACCCAGAUCAGAUUGGAAAUCUCAAAUAUGGAAAAUAUAGUUAGGACUUACCAAAUCCAGUCCCGGAAAGAUUAACCAAAGUAGAAAAAUAAGGAGCAAUUGUAGAGAAUAUGCCACUUUGGAAAACCAAGAUUCUCAUGUAAUCAUUUCUUUUCUUCAACUCUAAAAUCUCCAUGAGGGUAAAUGGGAAAAAGAAAAAAGAGAGCGUCCAUAGCAGUUAAAUACGGAACCAACUCCCCUCUCAUCCUUCCCUUCUAUCCAUCACGACCCAACUCUUCUUCUUCUUCUCUCUCUCUUUUUUCUUUCUUUCUUGCAUUAGCUUAUUAAACCAUUGGAAGCUCUUUUUUUAUACACAUAUAUUACCGGACUUCUUCUUGUUCUUGUCUAAAUUUCCUCAGCAGUUUCUCUCCCUUCAUUGGUUUGCACAUUCAACGUAAGCUUUCUCUUGCUCUAAAGUCAUGGAUUUGAUAUGUGGUAAUGAGUUUUGAUUGAAUCGUAGAUGCUAUUUGAUCAUGGAGUUUUUGUUUUCUUUAUCUCCUUUGGGGUCAAAAUCUUUACUUCCUUAUGUAAGGCUGUGUGUUGCAUAGAGUUUCGAGAUACGCAAACGAAAUCCAGAGUCCUAAGAUUUGAGACUUUUCCGUUUUCUUUUAAUUAUUGCUCUUCUACUAGGAUUCUCCUCUCUCUCUCUCUCUCCUCUUUUACCCUGCAGGUUUUUAUUCUUUCUGGUGCUAAAUCUUUUUCAUUCUUCGUUAUGAUUCUCUCUCUAUUUGAGGUUUUAGCAAUCUCCACGUGAAGACAUUCAAUUUUGUUUUCCAUCAUGGUGUUCCUGGUAGGGGCGGGGGGCAGUUCAACCUGAGUCCUUUAUUAGUAUAAGUUUUUUCUUGGUACAUCAAUUAUUAAGUUUGAACCAGAUUGCAAAACUUUCGAGUGCAAAUCUUUUCACUUUUUGAUGAUUGCUAGGAAGGAGAAGAAAGCACGAAAGAAUCUUUCUGUCAAUCCAAAAUUUUUAGUUUAGUUUUUCUUGUCGAAUAUCCUAAAUUGUAGUUACAAGCUUUAUUUAAUGGAAAUAUGCUUUUUUGUUAAACCCUUUUGUAGUAUCUUAGUUACACUUUAUUGACCUAAGACUUUGUAUUAUAGUCUCGGUCAUUUUGUCAUCACAUUUAUUUCAUUUGUCAUCUUCUAUCAACCUUAGCCUCUUGAAACUCCAUACAUCCUCACGAUUUUGGAAAAGGACUGCCUUGCCUUUCUGUCUUUUUUUUGUUUCCUUGCACCUUCACACAGUUCACAUGACUAAUAGUACUGACUUCAGCUUUCAUCAGAUAUACAAUAAUUGGCACCACCACCAUUGAUCAUAUGUUUUAUUUUUACUUUUUGUAAAUAUAUCAGUGCAUAAAUUGAUAUUUAAUUCGGUUGUUGCAAUGCUUUCAGUGGAAAACAAACAGAUAGCAUAGCAAAGACUUCUGAUCAGGAGGAAUCGUCAUGGCAAACGACAAACUGCAAGUUCUUAAUGCACUUGACGUAGCCAAAACACAAUGGUAUCAUUUCACAGCAAUUAUCAUUGCUGGCAUGGGAUUCUUCACUGAUGCAUAUGAUCUCUUUUGCAUUUCCUUGGUGACUAAAUUGCUUGGUCGCAUAUAUUACCACAAGGAAGGUGCUGCUAACCCUGGUGAUCUUCCUUCUAAUGUAAAGGCUGCUGUUAAUGGUGUAGCGUUCUGCGGUACCCUUACAGGCCAGCUCUUUUUUGGCUGGCUAGGUGACAAGAUGGGACGAAAACGUGUGUAUGGCAUGACCCUUAUUCUCAUGGUUAUCUGUUCGGUUGCCUCUGGGCUUUCCUUAGGCCAUGACCCAAAAGCUGUUAUGGCUACCCUUUGCUUCUUUCGCUUCUGGCUUGGUUUUGGUAUUGGUGGUGACUAUCCUCUUUCUGCUACCAUCAUGUCCGAAUACGCUAACAAAAAAACUCGUGGUGCUUUUAUUGCUGCUGUUUUUGCCAUGCAAGGUUUUGGGAUUUUGGCUGGAGGGAUGGUUGCUAUUAUAGUUUCUGCAGCUUUUAAGGCUAAAUACCCUGCUCCAACUUAUGAGAUGGAUGCAAAUGGGUCAACCGUGCCAGAAGCUGAUUACGUUUGGAGGAUCAUUUUGAUGUUUGGGGCGCUCCCAGCUUUACUUACUUAUUACUGGCGCAUGAAGAUGCCUGAAACUGCUCGUUACACUGCCUUAGUCGCCAAGAAUGCAAAACAGGCUGCAGCAGAUAUGUCAAAAGUUCUUCAGGUUGACUUGGAAGCAGAACAGGAGAAGCUAGAACCAAAAAAAGGGAGUGAUUUUGGUUUGUUCACCAGAGAAUUUCUUCUUCGACAUGGGCUUCACUUGCUUGGUACCACAAGUACUUGGUUUUUGUUGGACAUUGCCUUCUACAGUCAGAACCUGUUUCAAAAGGACAUCUUUAGUGCCAUUGGUUGGAUUCCAAAGGCAAAAACCAUGAACGCUCUUGAAGAAGUUCAUAAAAUUGCAAGAGCGCAAACUCUCAUUGCGCUAUGCAGCACUGUUCCUGGAUAUUGGUUCACUGUGGCAUUGAUUGAUAAGAUGGGGAGAUUCAAAAUUCAAUUGAUGGGCUUCUUCUUCAUGACUGUGUUCAUGUUUGCCUUGGCAAUUCCAUACCAUCACUGGACUCUACCAGACAACAGAAUUGGGUUCGUUAUUAUGUACUCCUUAACCUUCUUCUUUGCAAAUUUCGGUCCAAAUGCCACUACAUUUGUAGUCCCCGCUGAAAUUUUCCCUGCAAGGUUAAGAUCAACAUGCCAUGGAAUAUCAGCUGCAUCAGGUAAGGCAGGGGCAAUGGUGGGUGCAUUUGGCUUUUUGUAUGCUGCAGACAGUAUUGGAGUGAAGAAAUCACUUAUAAUUCUGGGCUUCAUUAACUUGCUGGGGAUGUUGUUCACAUUUUUGGUACCCGAAUCAAAAGGGAAGUCACUGGAAGAAAUAUCUGGGGAAGCUGAGCAAGAAAAUGGGACAGAAACACAACCUGGGCAGCAGGAUAGUAAUGGUGUCCAAAGUGUACCAGUUUAAUUAAGCUUUGUAAUGUUUUAUUAAUUACUAUGAAUCUUCGAAGUCACAUUAGGGAGUGUAUUUAUGUGUCUUAUAUAUUGGAGCUUUGGAUGCUGUUUGCACUUCCUGCAUAAUAAUAUAAGAUUCUUAUAUACACUAUUGAAUGUAAACAUCUCUGGAAUACCAUUUUUAAUAUCUUUAAAGUUGUUGAUUGGAGAUUUCGUUAAUAGUUUAGUUUAGCGUUUGAAGAAGAAAAAUUGUGUGAUCCAACCCUAUUUGAUGAACACAAUCUUGAAGAAGAAGCCCAUCAAUUGAAAUCGAAAUAUGUUUGUACUCUAGAGCCUAUCCAAAAAAGGAAUUUGGAUUUUAAAAUCCAAAUCAGUGGUCUCAAAUCCACAACAAUGCAUUCUCUUGUUCUAACUUGUUUUAGUGCAGUCAAAUGAGUUCGUACAUUUAUGUCAUAAUGUCUGUUUAUAUGUAAACAACUACGUUUAUAGUAUCAAACUUAGUUAACCUUACUGUUUUUAUAUUUUAAUAGUUUAACUUACAUCAAUGUUCUCUUACAUAUGUCUCCUAGAGUCUGUCCAUUGUUGUUCGGAAGGCUACUAGUUUUUGGCCUCUGUGGCCCGGUGCCUACACCUUGAUCGCUAUGGGAGCGAGCUUCUUCCGAAGGCAACCAAGAGAGCAAAUGGAAAAGAUGUCAACCCUGGCAUUGGAAGCAUUUGCUAGCUCUUGAUUUGCCAUAGGAACAGAGAUUAGCCAGCUAGUUAUUGUCAUGUUAGAACCGAAGAUAAACAUGACAAAAAAACAGAAAGAAGCCUGCCUGCUAGAAUAAACACUACCUCCCAUGUCAUAUUACUGUUGAAGAGACUAUUUCAAUGCAACUUGUUAGGAACCUUUCAUUCACAAUUAAAACCAGUCUUAUAUUACCUAACAUCAACAAGAAAACAAGUAAGUUUUUCAAUGGAGUAGGGUGCUGCAGUGAAAACAUCUUUUGAGAUUAAAGCAUGGAACGCGUUCCAUAUGACCAACAACACCAUGGGCUCUAAGCCUCAGCGAAUGGGCUUGAAGCAACAAGCAGGAAUGGUCUAGAUGAAAAAUCUUUAUGCAUUGAUUUUUAUUUAUAUUUUUUUUCUUACCAUUUCAAAAUUGAAGAGAGAAAUAAGGGAUGAGUCACACCCACCACAUCGAAGACUUUUCGUCACUUGAAAAAUAAAUUAUGCAAGUACGGAAGCAGAGGAGAUAUUUUUAUCUUUGAUUUGUUAAUCUUAAUAUUUCUUAUGGUAUUUCAAAAAAUAAAUAAAUAAAUAAAUAUAGAUACAGUCGUGGGUACAAUCCACCCACAUGCUCCAAAUGGUUUUGUUCGUUAGGAGAUUUCGUAGAUUUCUCUGAUAUUACACUGUUUUUUUUUUUAUCUUUUUUCGAAACUAUUUUUAUUUUCCUUAUGUAGUUUUCUUUGGAUUAAACGUGUUUUUUUUUCCUCCUUUGAUAUUUUAGCGGAUGAAUGAUUGGUGGAUUCAGUUUUCCUCCCUUGAGGAAGUAAUUGAUGUAUACUUCUCCUAUUUUCUUAGCUGAAGGAAAUAGAAAGAAGGAAAAAGAAGAGAAAGUAAUUGAUGUCCACUUCUCUGCUUUUCCUUUUCACAUUCUUCUCAUUUCUUAUAUUAUAAUAAAAUUAUAAUUUUUAUUUUAAACUUUAAAUUAUAAAUAUAUAUUUAUUAUCAUUAAGAGUAUGGGAGCAUUUAAUCUGUCUUUUUCCUUGUUAAAAAUCAUCAUCACAAAAAAUUGUUUUUUAAAAUAUUUAACAUCAGCAUAAUAAUAAUAAUCAUAUCUUUAAUUUGUUUUUCUUAUAGAAUAUUCAUCACAAACCUCGUAGCUUCUCUACAAUGCUUCAGCCAUGGUUUCCCCUUUUCUUCCAAUUGGUCUUUAUUUUCUUUUUUAAUAUUAGCAAGGCGUAUGAGCAGAGGGUUAUAUGAUAAUAAAAAGUGGAAAAAGCUUAUAUGAUAAUAAAACUACCAACUCUGCUUUUUUUUUAACCCAAAACAAUAUUUAAAAAAAGAUUCUCAGCCUUUAAUUAAUUGCUCCCUCUUUUUGCACAUCCAACCCCUUUUCCAACUUAUUAUAACGCUUUGUUAAGGAUUUUAUUUUUUUGAAUUUAGGUCGUGACUUUCAUCAUACUAUUUUUUAAAAAAACAAAAACAAGAAAAAACACGCCAUAACUUUUGACUUUGCUGCCAGGGGUGAUGGGACCAAAACAGUAGUCAUACUACUUCCAAAAUGAAUAAACUAUUCCUUUGUCGGAAUGGGUUUCCGUUCUCUGAUCAAUUUUGCUCUUGGGACCAGUUUGAGGUUGGUGUAACUUCACGUCACAAGUUGUUGUAUGUAUAUUGACUUUGAAGUCCUAUCAAUGUCACACUCCAAUCUUGAGGUACGACAAACGUCAUAUAUAUGUAAUAUAUAGUCUUAACAGAUAUAAAAAGCUUCAAUAUAUAUUUUAUUUAAUAUUAAUUAAAAAAAUUAAAAUAUUUAAAAGAUGUAAUAAUUCAUAAAACUAAAUUUAUCUGUAGAAAUUUAAAAGAUUAUAAUUCGAUAAUAUUUAAAAUUAAGUCUCUAAAACCAUAAAAUUAACGUGUCAAAAUAAAAGUUUGAAUAAUAAUUUAAGAUAAUUCGAUGUUCAUAAUAUUUAAAUAAAUCUUAAACAAUUUAAAUACUACUAAAUUAAACAUUACUCUCUGAAAUUCUCGUAUGGUUGAUCAAAUCACAACUUAAAAUAAUUUGAAGGAAUGAGUGAAUCUAACUACUUUGCAAAUAACUAACAUCCUUUCAGCCGGAUUAAGCAUACUUAAUACAUUUAGGCCAAAGUGUCAUUAAUAUAAAUAUCAAAAUAAAAUAUUAAGUAAUCUUAUUUAAAAUCAUAUACUUCAAAAUUUAUACUUUCAGAUAACAUAACAAACAUAUUUCAUAAAUAUUUUAAAUUUUAAUGGUCUUUUGUAAAAUGCUACGACUACACUUAACUCCUGUGGCAUAAGUUAAAAAUAAAUUCACAAUUAACUCCGAUGGCACGGGUCAGAAAUAUAUCAAAAGCAACCAUUAGCUACACUGAACAAAUAUCAUAAUAUCACUAUUCUAUAACUGGUGGUGCAAUUAAGAAAUCGAUUUUUAAUCAUAGACUACAUGUCUACAUGGCCAAUAUUUAACCCUCAUUGGCAAGGUCAGAGUAUAGCCAUACUAUGAGAUAAAACAGAAACAUAUUUUUUUAGAUUAUCCAAAUUUCAUAAAAUAGUAUAUUAACUUUCUCAAACAUAUCUCAUACACAUCAAAAGCAUAUUCGUUUCAGAUUAAAUAUAUAUAUUUAUAUUCACGAAACAUAUAUACAUACAUUAUACAAAGUCAUACAAAUUUCAAAAUCAGAAAUCAUGCUUUGCGUAAGCUAAAUUCUAAAUUCAACAUAUAAAACUCAUAUACAUAUACAUUUUGCAUGCUCAACCUGAUUUUAAUGAAUCAUAGAAUAAAAUAUCAAAUAUCAUGUACAAAUUCAUAUUGAGGCUAAUUUUUAGUGUGUUAAAACACUAAAAAGAUAUCAGUCACUUAUUUGAUUUUGUCAAUUUUACUUUCAAGCAACAAAUUAAAAAAUCCUCUUAGUAGCCUAAUAUAACAAGAAAAUACAUACAAAAUCAUAACUAAAUUUGCAAACAAAUGCUACAAGAUGACUAUCGUUGGCCAUCCUAAACACUUAGGGUGUGUAGCGAUUUUUAUUACAAUUUAAAAACAUUUUCGAUUAAUAAGAUAAUAUUUUAUUAUUAUAUAUAUUUUUUAAUUAAUAAAAUUUUAAAUAAAGUUGAGAAUUUAAACUUAAAUCAUACAAUCAGUAAGGAUUUUAAUUUCCGAUAGAAACAUAAUUUCAUUCAUAAAAAUCAUAUUUAUAAUUUUUCAUUAAUUUUUGAUAUUUUAAUAAAAUCUACUAAUUUAAUAAAUAAAUUUAUAAAAUAUAAAGAUAUAUUCUUUUAGAUAUAAAAAUACAGUAAAAAACACAUAUCCAAUCUACAACAGAAUUUAUUAAACAUUAAUUAAUAAUUAAAUUAAAAAAAAUUAUUUUCUGAAAUUUUUCAGAAUCUAGAUAGCCAUUUGGCCUAUUUUGAGCCAUUGUAACUCCUAACCCAAAUUGUUUCCAGUGGUAAAAUCAACACCAAUUUGAAGUAUUCAUAUCAUAUUGCAUCACCAAAAUUUGUUUCAAUUAAAAAGAAUACAAAAUUCCCAAGUUUUGAAAGCCAAAAUUUUAGAAAUCAUCACAAAAAUAUCUAAAUUUUUAAGUUUUCAGUAUCAAUAAACUAUUUUGAGGCUUUAAUUCUCUUAACACAAGAAGCCCCUAAUCGAGCCAUUAAUAUCAAAUUAAACACCUCAUUUCAUACUACAAAAGCCUUCAAAGAGACGACCUAAAAUGUUACUAGAAUAUGAAGUUUCGGUGACCCAAAUUUGGUUUAUCAAAACUAUUAAAAAUCAAGUCUCCAAUUAACUUCGAAAAUUCGUAUUUUCUUAACCACAAAGCCAAACGAGAUGUUACAAAAACCAUUGAAAAUAUCUUUUCAAUAUCUUUCCAUUGGUACCCACCAUGCCACUGGAAAGUCAUCAGAAGAAUAUCGAGUUUAAAUAAAAGUUAAGAAAAUACAAUUAACUUAGGACUUUUGUAUCCAAAUUAUGAAAAUUACAACCCUAAACAUACCUUAAUAAGCAAUCCCUUAAAUACAUUUUCCUUUUCUCUAUCUUUCUUCUUCCUUCUGACUGACUACUUAUCUUUUGAGAUAAAUUAGUAUGAGUUUUCUGCCUUUUCUUUUAAAACUUAUAAACUAACCCAACUAUAUUAUUUUUUUUAAACGUAAUUUAGUGAGUUACUAUCUGGUAAAAUAAACUGACAUUUACCCCACUAAUUUAAACGUGAUAAAUAAAACUGACAUUAAUUAAACUUUUUUAUUUACUUAAAGACCUUUUUUCUAUUUUUUUAAUUAUUAAGGCAUCCAGGAUUAUCACUGUAAAUAAAUAAAAUAUUAAAACAACAUUUACUUAUUUAUUUUUAUAAAACUAUAAUUUAAUAAAUUUAAAUAUUUUUAUAAUAUAUACUUUGUGAGGAGUAUUACAGUCAGCUAAUCCAUAGCAAAACGAAAUACAUUAAUGUUGAUAAUAAUAGCUGCUUGUUUGAAGCCUGAAGGAAAUUAUAAUGGUUGUUGUCAUGUUUAAUAAGCAUUAAUUAUAAAUUAAUGAGGAAUUUUUUUUAUCCCUAAAUUAAAUAUCCCUUCACAAGGAAAAACAUGUUUAUUAAAAUAUAUUGCAGUGUCGUGUACAAAAGAAAAGUAUAGACUAUAGUUUUAAUAAAAGUCAACUAUUUGGGUUGGAUUGGAGUGUUUGAUUUUGUAAAGAAGUUCCUGUAGCAGUUCAGAAUUACAGAACAUUUUCCCUAGCGUAGCAUAAAGGAAAAGAAUAGGAAUAAUUUUUGUAAUCUCUAUGAACAAAAGCACACAAUCCUGUGUACGGCAAAAGCUAGUUCGUUCCAGUUCUUGUUAGGCAAUCUUUCGGUUCUUCUUAAUUUCCAUCAUCGAGCCUGCAGGAAUCUACAUGCUUUCAAGCAUUCAAAGCCUCCAGUAAGUUAAUUUAGGUAUGGCAAUCUAAAAUGGGUUUUAUUUUAUCUAUGGCGUGAGGAGUAUGAGCAGCUCAGAGUUGACUGACGACUGGAUAGGCUAGAGUCUGAAGUUAUCCACUUUAACUUAUUCCCAAUUUUUAUGGUCACCAUGUCUUUGGUAAGAUGAUAUGACCAACUCACUGUCCCUUGCGUCCUUGUCUUCCAUGCUUAUAUCAGAGGAUGCGGUCCAUUGAUUUCACUUCCAAACCAAGUUGACGAAACAGUAGAAGGCUUUCACCACGAAUGCUAGGCCCCCAGAGCUGGAGCAAGAGACAAAAGGCAAAAUAUUGCUUGACAAUGAUUCAAGACAGUGAAACCAGAUAUAGCAGAGUUGGAAAAUUCAAUUGCCAGAUGAUGCAAACAAUUCUGAUUGUUUGUCAGCUUGACAUCUUCUUGUUGGUACAAAGUUGCUUUUAUGUAAUAUGAAAGUGAAGGCCAAAACUUGUUCAAAAAGCAGCGCCAAGCUCGCAUUCAUGGUUGACAAACUAUAAGAAGGUGAGAUCGAAAGGCAGAAAGAUUCUUAAGAUGACAAUACAAAACCAGCCAAAGGCUAACAAGCCAAAUUUUGGAUGUUGGUCCCAAAUAUUUGGUCUCCAUUAUUCUACAUCACCUUUAUACUUUUAGCCCUCCCCCUGAUCUAUACUCUCAGGUAAGAGUCCACUAAAAUUUUGGGCAAAAGAUAUUGUUCUUUCCGUUAUGCUUACUGUUCUAUUAGUGGAAUGGGAACUGCAACUAUGGAUGAUUAUCUCACUAGUUGCUUAAGCUACAACGCACCACGAUUAUAUAUGGCACAUGCAACAAAUCAGAUUUAGCUUUUGACAAAGUAGUAUUUGGAAUUAAAUACUCAUAUAUAUCACAAUUUUUCCUAAAAGAUGAAAUGAAUGUUGUCAUGAAUCGAAAUAAGAACAAAAAAAGAUAUACAAUAAGUUAAUACAGGAAUUAUGAGCAUCAAGAAUUGUCUAGUUUCACCAAUAUUAAUCCGGCAGGCUCAAGAGUGACAAGUGUAGUUUGUGAAAACUAAUCCAUUGUUCUACAAGUAAUUAAACAGUAGUACAAGCAAAAAGGCGUUUGAAUGGAGGAAUAUGUGUCAGUUGCUGUCAAUAUCUUUCUGAUAACGGCUAUAUUGGAGGAAACGAAGGUUUCGAUCUGGCUAGAAACCAAACUUUUCAGCUAAAAACGUCGAUCAAGCAGCCAAUUGUUGAACAGUUGUGCAAUUCUAAGUCCCAAUAAAGUGAAAGGAUGAUGAGACAGAUUGUAUGGCAUUAAUUUUAAAAUGGUAUCAUUCUUUUGUACUUCUACAGGGAGUGCGGACUAAAUGAUUUACGUGAAGAAUAAGUGCAAUAAAGGGUAGAGUUAAAUAAUCAAGGAUUCAAUCCAAACUCCACGGAGGGAAAAGGCUGCAACAAAAGUGGUGCCUCAGAAUAAUUCCUCUCUUUGAGGUUUAUAAUUAUAAAAAAUUAAAUAUGUAGUUUCCACCGUGGAAAUUACUAAUGCCAUCAAGCAUUGAUUAUUAAAUUGCUAUCCAGCAUGACCAGAUAUCCCCAAAGACACUAUUUGAUUGCCUUAUACGAAUUGGAUGUAACCAUAAUCCUUAAUUUAUCUUUUUUAUUCUUUCCCUUUUUCCUUGACAUUUAAUAUCAUCAAUAAUCAUAAAUUAUCUGAUUUUUUAUUAAAAAAGUGAAUUUUUUUUUUAUCAAAACUGGAGAAAGGUUAAAAAUCUAAAUGCAUAUGCAUCUAUUUAAGCUUUCCAGGUAUAAAAAAAAGUUACUAGAAAUAAGUGUAUUUAGAUUUCAAACGAAUGAUUUAAAUUCUGAAUAAAACAAUUGUAUUUGUGGGUGUAACCAAUUAAUCCUUUUCCAGCAAAAAUGGAAUCUUCUAUAUGAUUUUUCUUACCUUUCCAAAGUAGUAUACUAAUUCCUUUUGCAGAUAAAACUUUGGUGAAAAAUGUUUUUUAACUUUGAAACAUAGGUUUUUGAUGUAAAAUUAUAUUGACAUAACCAGAUUAUUAACUUGGUCCAAUAAAAAGAAAACCAUCUCGAGAUAGAGCAAAAUUAAUUAUUUUGUUCCUAAUAAAAAAUAAUUGCUUUGUUUUAUCAUGAUCCCAAUUUUAAUACAUAAGCUAGAUUUAGUUAUAUUUGCCGUAAAUUGAUAAUCUGAAAUCCAUGUGUCCUGGCCCUUCCCAUUUACAGAUAACAAUGCUAAAAAAUAAAAUAAAAAAAUCUAAUUAAGAUUAUUGAUAAUCAUAUCCCUNNNNNNNNNNNNNNNNNNNNNNNNNNNNNNNNNNNNNNNNNNNNNNNNNNNNNNNNNNNNNNNNNNNNNNNNNNNNNNNNNNNNNNNNNNNNNNNNNNNNNNNNNNNNNNNNNNNNNNNNNNNNNNNNNNNNNNNNNNNNNNNNNNNNNNNNNNNNNNNNNNNNNNNNNNNNAAUGCUAAAAAAUAAAAAAAAAAAUCUAAUUAAGAUUAUUGAUAAUCAUAUCCCUCAAAGACAAAUCUUAUUAAGCAAACCCAAAACCCAGAUCAGAUUUGAAAUCUCAAAUAUGGAAAUGAUAGUUAGGACUAACCAACUUCAGUCCCGGAAAGAUUAACCAAAGCUAGAAAAAUAUGGAACAAUUGUAGAGAAUAUGCCACUUUGGAAAACCAAGAUUCUCACGUAAUUAUUUAUUUUUAAAUGGGAAAAAGAAAAAAGAGAGCGUCCAUAGCAGUUAAAUACGGAACCAACUCCCCUCUCAUCCUUCCCUUCUAUCCAUCACUACCCAUCUCUUCUUCUUCUUCUCUCUCUUUUUUUCUUUCUUCCUUGCAUUAGCUUAUUAAACCAUUGGAAGCUCUUUAUCUAUAUAUAUAUAUAUAUAUUACGAGACGUCUUCUUGUUCUUGUCUAAAUUUACUCAGCUGUGUCUCUCUUUCUUUCAUUGGUUUGCACAUUUAACGUAAGCUUUCUCUUGCUCUUAAGUUAUGGAUUUGAUAUGUAGUAAUGAGUUCUGAUUGAGUCGUAGAUGAUAUUUGAUCACGGAGUUUGACUUCUUUAUGUAAGGCUGUGUGUUGCAUAGAGUUUCGAGAUACGCAAACGAAAUCCAGAGUCCAAAGACUUGAGACUUUUCCGUUUUCUUUUAGUUACUGCUCUUCUACUAGGAUUCUCUCUCUCUCUUUUUACCCUGCAGGUUUUAUUCUUUCUGGUGCUAAAUCUUUUUCAUUCUUCGUUAUGAUUCUCUCUCUAUUUGAGGUUUUCGCAAUGUCCACGUGAAGACAUUCAACUUUGUUUUCCAUUAGGGUAUUCCUGGUAGGGGCGGGGACAGUUCAACCUGGGUCUUUUAUUAGUAUAAGUUUUUUCUUAGAUUAUUUUUAAAAAUAAUAUUUAAAGAUAAGAUAUUUUUAAAAAUAGUUCUCUUUAUAAUUUAAUUAUUUUUAGUUAAGUUUGACAAAAUUAUCUUUAAUGAAAUUACACAUCAUAAUUAGGUUGUUAUAAGUUAUAUACAACCAUAGUUAAAUUGUUACACGUUAUAUAUAAAAAUAUAUUACACGUCAUGUAUAAAAAAUAUUAUUAUUACACAUCAAGUACAAAAACAUGUUACACGUUAUAUUAGAAAAAUGUUAAUGUUCCACAUUAUGUUGAAAAAAUAUUAUUGUUAUACGUCAUGUUGAAAAAAUAUUAUUAUUAAUGCCUAAAAUGUUGUUACUUAUAAACUAAAACUUCAAAUUCUUUCAACUCUAUUCAUUGUUUUUUGACAAUUUGGCACCGAUUAAAAUAUUUCUAACAUGUUUUCAUAAUUCAAAACACAAAUUUUCUUAUCUAAAAUAUCUAUUUCGAUUAAAAAUAAAAAAAAAUUUCUUAGAAAACUUAGGUUUAUAAUUUCAAAUUUUUGAGUAUAUUGGUCUCAAAUUGAUCCAAUUAAAAGUUAUUUCAAACAUCUGUGAUCAUUUCUACCAUUUUAGUUUUAUCCAAAAUACUUAAAAAUUAAAUUUUCCAAGCACAUCAAAAUUAUAAAGAGAAAUCUAAAAGUGUGGGAGAGAGAAAUUGAGAGCAUAGCAGACGAAUGUCGAAGAGAGAAAUCGAUAAAAUUAGAAAGAGCUUGAUGGUGAGAGAGAGAAAUCGAAAGCACAAAUAGAAAGAAAUUGUGUUAAAUGUUUUAAUUUAUUUGAAAUAGUUUCAAGAAUGUUUUUAUCAAGUUAUAACUAAAUAUGAUUAAAAAUAAUUAAAUUUAUUUAAAUAAUUAUUUUUAAAAUGCUUGAAGAUUAUUCUUCACAAUCUUUUUUUUUCUUGGUACAUCAAUUAUUAAGUUUGAGCCAGAUUGCAAAACAUUGAGUGCAAAUCUUUUCACUCUUUGAUGAUUGCUAGGAAGGAGAAGAAAGCACGAAAGAAUCUUUCUGUCAAUCCAAAAUUUUCAGUUCAGUUUUUCUUGUCAAAUAUCCUAAAUUGUAGUUACAUCCUUUAUUUAAUGGAAAUAUGUUAUUUCUAUUAAACUCUUUUGUAGUGUCUUAGUUACACUUUAUUGACCUAAGACUUUGUAUUAUAGUCUCGGUCAUUUUCUCAUCACAUUUAUUUCUUUUGUCAUCUUCUAUCAACCUUAGCGUCUUGAACCUCGAUACAUCCACACGAUUUUGGAAAAGCAUUGCCUUGCCUUUCUAUCUUUUUUUUGUUUCCUUGCACCUUCACACAGUUCACAUGGCUAAUAGUCCUGACUUCAGCUUUCAUCAGAUAUACAAUAAUUGGCACCACCACCAUUGAUCAUGUGAUUUAUUUUUAAUUUCUGUAAUUAUAUUAGUGCAUAAAUUGAUAUUUAAUUCUGUUUUCGCAAUGCUUUCAGUGGAAAACAAACAGAUAGCAUAGCAAAGACUUCUGAUCAGGAGGAAUCGUCAUGGCAAACGACAAACUGCAAGUUCUUAAUGCACUUGACGUAGCCAAAACACAAUGGUAUCAUUUCACAGCAAUUAUCAUUGCUGGCAUGGGAUUCUUCACUGAUGCAUAUGAUAUCUUUUGCAUUUCCUUGGUGACUAAAUUGCUUGGUCGCAUAUAUUACCACAAGGAAGGUGCUGCUAACCCUGGUGAUCUUCCUUCUAAUGUAACGGCUGCUGUUACUGGUGUAGCGUUCUGCGGUACCAUUGCAGGCCAGCUCUUUUUUGGUUAGCUCGGUGACAAGAUGGGACGAAAACGUGUGUAUGGCAUGACCCUUAUGCUCAUGGUUAUCUGUUCGGUUGCCUCUGGCCUUUCCUUAGGCCAUGCCCCUAAAGCUGUUAUGGCUACCCUUUGCUUCUUUCGCUUCUGGCUUGGUUUUGGUAUUGGUGGUGACUAUCCUCUUUCUGCUACCAUCAUGUCCGAAUACGCUAACAAAAAAACUCGUGGUGCUUUUAUUGCUGCUGUUUUUGCCAUGCAAGGUUUUGGGAUUUUGGCUGGAGGGAUGGUUGCUAUUAUAGUUUCUGCAGCUUUUAAGGCUAAAUACCCUGCUCCAACUUAUGAGAUGGAUGCAAAUGGGUCAACCGUGCCAGAAGCUGAUUACGUUUGGAGGAUCAUUUUGAUGUUUGGGGCGCUCCCAGCUUUACUUACUUAUUACUGGCGCAUGAAGAUGCCUGAAACUGCUCGUUACACUGCCUUAGUCGCCAAGAAUGCAAAACAGGCUGCAGCAGAUAUGUCAAAAGUUCUUCAGGUUGACUUGGAAGCAGAACAGGAGAAGCUAGAGCCGAACAAAGGGAGUGAUUUUGGCUUGUUCACCAGAGAAUUUCUUCAUCGACACGGACUUCACUUGCUUGGUACUACAAGUACUUGGUUUUUGUUGGACGUUGCCUUCUACAGUCAGAACCUGUUUCAAAAGGACAUCUUUAGUGCCAUUGGUUGGAUUCCAAAGGCAAAAACCAUGAACGCUCUUGAAGAAGUUUAUAAAAUUGCAAGAGCGCAAACUCUCAUUGCCCUAUGCAGCACUGUUCCUGGAUAUUGGUUCACUGUGGCAUUGAUUGAUAAGAUGGGGAGAUUCAAAAUUCAAUUGAUGGGCUUCUUCUUCAUGACUGUGUUCAUGUUUGCCUUGGCAAUUCCAUACCAUCACUGGACUCUACCAGACAACAGAAUUAGGUUCGUUAUUAUGUACUCCUUAACCUUCUUUUUCGCAAAUUUCGGUCCAAAUGCCACUACUAUGAAUUACUAUGAAUCUUCGAAGUCACAUUAGGGAGUGCAUUUAUGUGUCUUAUGUUGGAGCUUUGGAUGCUGCUUGCACUUCUUGUGUAAUAAUAUAAGAUUUUUAUAUACGCUGUUGAAUGUGAACAUCUCUGAAAUGUCAUUUUUAACAUCUUUAAGAUUUUUUUUUUUAUAAUUGGAGGAGAGGGAUUCGAACCUUAUUUUUUAGGCAAAGAGAUUAUGCACAAACCAAUAAAUCAAAUACUUGGGUGCUUUAACAUCUUCAAGGUUGUUGAUUGGAGAUUUUGCUAAUAAUUUAGCUUAGCAUUUGAAGAAGAAAAAUUGUUUGCUUCAACCCUAUUUGAUGAACACAAUAUUGAAGAAGAAGCUCAUCAAUUGAAAUCGAAAUAUGUUUGUACUCUAGAGCCCAUCCAAAAAAGGAAUUUGGAUUUUAAAAUUCAAAACCGUGGUCUCAAAUUCACAACAAUGCAUUCUCUUGCUCUAGCUUGUUUUAGUGCAAUCAGAUGAGUUCGUACUUUUAUGUUAUAAUGUCUGUUUAUGUGUAAACAACUAUGUUUAUAGUAUCAAACUUAGUUAACCUUACUGUUUUUAUAUUUUAAUAGUUUAACUUACAUCAAUGUUCUCUUACAUAUGUCUCCUAGAGUCUGUCCAUUGUUGUUCGGAAGACAUUUGAUUGCUAUGGGAGCGAGCUUCUUCCGAAGGUAACCACGAGAGCACAUGGAAAAGAUGUCAACCCUGACAUUGGAAGUUCUUGCUAGCUCUUGAUUUGCCAUAGGAACAGAGAUUAGCCAGCUAGUUAUUGUCCAUGUAGAACCAAAGAUGAACAUGACAAAAAAAACAGAAAGAAGCCUGCCUGCUAGAAUAAACGCUUGUUUUCCUCCUUUGAUAUUUUAGCGGAUGAAUGAUUGGUGGAUUCAGUUUUCCUCCCUUGAGGAAGUAAUUGAUAUAUACUUCUCCUAUUUUCUUAGCCAAAGGAAAUAAAAGAAGGGAAAAUAAGAUAAAGUAAUUGGUGUCCACUUCUCUCUUUUUCCUUCAUAUUCUUCUCAUUUCUUAUAUUAUAACAAAACUAUAAUUUUUAUUUUAAGCUUUAAAUCAUAAAUAUAUAUUUAUUAUAAUUAAGAGUAUGGGAACAUUUAAUCUGUCUUUUACCAUGUUAAAAAUCAUCGUCACAAAAAAUUGUUUUCUAAAAUAUUUAACAUCAUCAUAAUAAUAUUCCUAUCUUUAAUUUUUUUUAUAGAAUAUUCAUCUUUGAUAUUUAAUUGGUAAUUGCAACAGAAAAUAUUUUAAUAUAACUACGGACGACGGUACGGCCCACCCACGUGAAUCAAAUGGCCUUUUUGUUUUUAUGUUCUUUUGGGAGAUUGACAGAUUUCUUUGCUUUACACUGCUCUUUCUGUGAAUGCCACGUACUUCACAUAAAAAUAUUUUGUUUCCAGAAAACGUGUCAGAUGAAAUUAUUUUCUUUUUUUUUCUUUUUUCAUUUGUUCUGAUUACACGUGCUUUCUUUUCUUCCCUCUAAAUUUGAUCUUCGUUUUUUUUUUUAAUUUAUAAAAUCAUAAGUAUUAAAUUUUUUUUAAUAAUUAUAUCAGAGUAUUUGAUUCAUUAGUUAAUAUAUGAUCCCUGUUUAAAGAGUAAAAAUUCAAAUCUUCCCUCUCUAAUUAUCAAAAAAAAUAAAUUUCUUUAAUAAUUGUUUUAGAUUAAUAAUCUAUCUAUCUAUAUAUAAAAUAGAAGAUCUAAAGGAUAGAGUGUUAUGAAUUUCGAAUGAGUUUUGAAUUUAUAUAUAAAAAUUUUCAUUUAUCUGAUAAUUUAUAUUUUAAAUUAAAAAUAUGAAUUCAUGAUAAUUACAUCAUGUUAUCAAAUAAUUAAAUUUUAUAUUGAGAUUUUUUUUAUUUUUACGAGAAAUUUGAAAUCAAAAGAAAAUUCAAUUUUUGAGUUUCAGGUCUUGGUGAUGUGCUACAAUCAGGAGAAAAAAGAGAGGCAAACUGAUUGAUUAAUUAAUUGUUUUUCACUUUCAACAAAAAUGGAGUUAAAAAGACAAAAACACUGAAAUUCCCCUUGCUAUUGGAUCAAUCCAACCCCUACGAUCCUUUCCAAAUCUAUGGCCAAUAAGAUUGAGACAUAAAGAGAGAAAGUGCUCGGGACUGAUGGGUACAACCCAACGCCAUCACAAUAAAGUUUUUGGCUCCAAUGCACUGGCUACAAACACGAUGUUUCUCCCACUAUCCCAAUGGACACUCUGUUUUUACCAACACCAUUGCCUUACACAAUUACACAAUUGAGAUAAUAACUAAAGAUUUACAGAUAAAAAAAAGAUUCAAAAACGGAUUAGUAGAUAUUUAGAAUUAGGUUAAGAGAUUCUUCACGAUAAUUUUUAUUGAAAACUCCGAAGCUUAUCCUUCGCAUACAUCAUUAGGGUAUUUGCGAAGAACAAAAACACCCACUUCCAAUCAGUAAUUCUCAUUCCUUUGUCAUUUAGUUAUACACACUCUUCUCAAGCUUACCAAAAACACUCGCCUCUUCUACGAAAAGAAGAAAUGGAGAAGAAAAAACAAAGCUUCCUUGGAAUUAACAAAAAUUCAUCCCCUUUUAACCUCUAUAUACAAUACAGUAGCAAAUACCCCUUCAAAUAUUAAGGCCUUGAGAAAAAAGCUUCGAAAUUCAGCCUCCAGUUGUUAUCCAAGGAUGCCCUGUAAAAUUUAAAACAAAUUAAAAUUUAAAUUCUAAAAAUUAAUGGGUAUUUUUCUUCUUUCCCUAGAAAGAAGAAAGAAAGAGAAACUAAUAAUUGGAACAUGUGGAAAUUUGAGCUUACUUAGAACUUGUUCAGCAGAGAAUCUUCUAGAAACAUCUUUGCAGAGCAUUUUUCUCAGAAGAUCCUUAGCCGCCGGCGACACCGAUUGGAAGACCCUGACAGGGAACCUCAGAUUCCCUCUCAAAACCGCCUCAAAAAUCUCCACAACCGUUUCCCCAUAAAACGGUGGAAACCCCGCCAACAUUAUGUACAGAAUGACACCGCAACUCCACACAUCAACUUUCUCCCCGUAUUCCCUCCCGUUCAAAACCUCCGGCGCCACGUAAUACGGGGUCCCCACCACCCCUUGCAUAGCCUCCGCCGCCACUUCAGCGGAACCGAAGUCCGUUAGCUUAACGGAAUUUUUGGAAUCGAACAGAAUAUUCUCCGGCUUGAUAUCACGGUGGACGAUGCCGAGCUUGUGAAUGUGGGCAAGGGCUUGGAUGAGCUGGGUCAUGAUGGGUCGAGCUUGGGCUUCCGAGAAGGGACCAUUGUGGAUGAUGAGAUUGUAAAGGUCUUGAGAAGGAGGGCAGAGAUCGAGGACCAUGUGGAGAUGAGAAUCGUCUUCGUAGAGGUUGUGGAGGUGAAUUAUGUUCGGGUGAGGUGAAACUAAAGCAAGGAUUUUCGGCUCGUUGAAGAGACAUUGGGAGUCAAGAGAAUCGCCGGUGGAGAUUAUACGUUUGUCGAUGGAUUUAACGGCGAAUGAUUCGCCUGAGCUCAAUGAAACGCACCUGAAAACGACGCCGAAUCUUCCCCGGCCGAUCUCUUCGCAAACCUCGUAGCUUCUCUUCAAUGCUUCAGUCAUGGUUUCCCCUUUUCUUCCAGUUGGCCUUUAUUUCUUUUUUAAUAUUAGCAGGGGGUAUAAGUAGAGGGUUCAAGGAAUGUUUGGGGAAUAUUCGGGGUAGCGAAUAGGAAGACGACACUUGCUGGGAUCGAAGGGUGGGAGAUACUGUGACCGUUUGUAGACUUUGGAUCCGAAAGCUGAAGUCGGUUGUCAAAUGGAAUUACGGGAAUGCCCCUAUUUUAGUCGACGUGGAAUAUCCGUACAGGAAGAAGUCCUUUGGCUUUGGGUUCGGUUUGGCAGUUGUAUGGUUCGAGUCGUAGUUAGAUACUUUUGGGUUAGGAAAUUUGGGAACAGCAUCCCGCGAAGUGGGGGCUGUUCUUAAGUUUGCCCAAAUAUUUUCGCCUUAAUUACCAUGUGUGCCAUCGUUCUCGAAUACAAAAACAAAUUAAUUAAUAAGAAUUUAUUAUUAUAUUAAAUGUUAAUAUUUGAUUUGAUAUCAUGUUCGAAAUAUUUUAGAUUUUCAAAAUUCUUUAAUUGUUUAUUUAAUUUAGUUUUAAGUUCUUUUAUAUUUUUUUUAUAAUUAAAGAGGAGAAAUUCAAAUUUAUUUUUUAAUUAGGAGGAUAAUGCACUAAGCAAUGAGUCAAAUACUUGAAUGCUUCUCUAUAGUUUAUAUUCUUUAUUUUUCUUAUAAUUACCCAUUCCUUAUUUAAUCUAGUUUAAUUAAUAAAAUUUUUUCAAAAAGGUAUAUUAAUAGCAUUGCAUGCUGAAAAAAGAAAGUAUCCAAUAAAAUUAAGGAAUUCAUUAUAUUUGAUGUGACAAAUUUGUGAAGGGCAUAAGAUCAUCAGUAAUUGAUGAAACUUUACUUAUAUGUGGUUAUGACUUGAAUAAUGAGAACAAUGUCAUCAUGGUAUUUCUAUUUCUCUCUUUUUCUUGUUAGGAAUUUUUUUUUGGAGAGGAUUAUAUUAGUUAUUUGGUUUAUAUUGGGAGUUUAAAAAUCUUCUGUCACUAAAAAAGGAAUUUAGAAUCUUCAUAAAUAAGUUUGAGUUAAUUUUGAAUUUUUAUUGCGUAUCUUAUCCAACUGAAUAUGCUGAUUUUAUAAUUUUUAAUAUAUAUUUUAUUUAUAAUUAAACAGAUACAUGGUAGAAUAUAAACUUUGUGAAUCUAUAUACGAAUGGAUUGAUGGAACAAGUAUUAUGACUAAUUAAUUAGGACAAUAUAUCUAUUGCAAAAGAAAAUUUGAGGACUACCUAUUAAUUAAAUGAAAGCCAAAAAAUUUUUUUGUGUGUUGAUAAUGUUAUAAACCUGUAUAACAUGAUGAUAAUUUAUCAUAAUAAGGCUUGCAUUGGAAUAUCUACGGACUUGAAUGAUCAGAAGGUAUGACCAUCAAUAUUUUGUUUGUUUCUUUUUUUGGAAAUUGCUUGGUAUUUUCGUGACAUAUGGGGGGCUAGGGCCACCACUCAAGUCAUGAAAAGUCAGGUGCUAACAUGCAAAGAUUUGUCUCCCAAACAUGAGCUUACUGUUGGAAAAUGGCUUGACAAGUGAUGAGUUCCACAAUAAUUUCAAGCAAGAAAAAUAUAUAUUCCACCUCCAUUUACCAGAAGAAAAGAAAGAAAAAGCAUGGAAUCGACCAAGUAUUGCUGUAUGAUUCAGAUUUUUUGUGUGGAUCUAGCCAGCACUUCCAUGCCUCCAAAGCAAAGUUUCCUUUCAUCUUUUUAUAGACACAAAAAAAAAAAAAAGGACCGUGAAAACAUCACAAUUCUAGUUAAAGAAAUUGCCACUAGGGAUGACAAUGAUGUCUUGCCAAUUGCCAUGUAGGAGAGACAACGCCAAUGUCAAAAACAAUUUCAGACCAUUUGAAGCUUUUUGGUUGGAGCUCAUUACGGGCAAACGAGCGCAAGUGGGGCACCUUUAACCAAAGAAAUCUGUGAUGAAGUCGUGAGGGAAGGGACAUGAGGCUUUGCUUUUCAUUGACUUUUCGAGUAAGCAAGGGGUGUGUAA
rnacentral:lncRNA from 1 species